rnacentral:lncRNA from 1 species
GAUCAUCCCAUAUCUCACUGUUAUCGAAGACAUCAUCAAGCACAAUAAAGUACUUCUUGUUUGUUAGGUAAUCUCGAAGAAUAGAUUUCUUCAAUUGAUAAUUGAAAGAGUUUGUAUAUAGUGUUUGGUUUAAGAGAAACUAACAAGAAAAUAAAAGAAAAUCAUAAAGAACCAGAUCUGAAAAUGAUCAUAUUCUCAUUUUUUGACUAAUGAUUACAACUUGUUAUUUAUAGUAAAGAUCAGAGGCGUCACGUAGCUUGUCAGUUUGUUGGAUCUAAUAUGCAUGCAGUACAGUUCGUUAUCUUUGCUGCUGAGCUGGAUAACUAACUCAACACACGUAAGCAUCAGCAGCUCCAUUUAAUCAGAUGCUCUCAUCUAUACCAUAUUAUCAUACUCUAUAACAUCCUCCCUCAAGCUGAACUGACCUGGAUGGACAUUCAGCUUGCUUCUUAGAUAGUGAAACUGAUUGAAGGUUAGUGCCUUGGUAAGAACAUCGGCAUUUUGGUCUUCACUGGGAAUGAACUGAACUGUAAUUUGCUUAGCUGUUACUUUGUCUCUGAUGAAGUGAAUAUCAAGCUCAACAUGCUUAGUUUUAGCAUGAUAAACAGGAUUGUGAGCUAAAGCUAUGGCACUUUGAUUAUCACACCACAUUAUGGGGGCUGUGACAAGAUGAAUAUGUAGCUCUUUCAGUAAGGACUGAAUCCAAGUAACCUCAGCUGUAGCUUGAGCCAAAGCUCUGUAUUCAGCUUCAGUGCUUGAUCUGGAAACUACUGCCUGUUUCUUAGACGACCAAGAAACCAAAUUUGAACCAAGAUAAACAGCAUAACCAGCCACUGAUUUGCGAUCAUCCUUAUCACAUGCCCAAUCUGAGUCACUAAAACAAUUUAUCUGCAUAGUGCCGUAAUGAUAAAAAUGUAAUCCAAAAUGAAUUGUUCCUUUCAAAUAUCUAAGAAGCCUCUUACAAGCCUCCCAGUGCUCUGCUGUUGGUGAAGCUAAAAACUGACUAAGUUUGUUUACAGAGAAAGCUAUUUCUGGCCUAGUGAGAGUCACAUAUUGUAAAGCUCCAACUGCACUUCUAUAUUGAGAACUAUUUGAAAUAACACUUCCUGACCCCUUUGUAAGAUAAUGACCAGUGGCCAUGGGAGUAGGAACUGGACUGCAGUCAGCCAUAUUGUGUUUGGCUAGAAUAUCAGCUAUGUAUUUAGAUUGAGAGAGAUAAAUUCCAGAUGCUGUUUUGGUAACUUCUAUCCCAAGAAAAUAACUCAAUUUGCCCAGAUCCUUCAAAGCAAAAGCAUUUUGCAUAUUGGUAAUCACUUGCUGCACCAUUUGAUCACUUGAGCCUGUUAUGAUUAUAUCAUCCACAUAGACAAGAACAAAAAUUACUUGAUCACCUAUCCACUUGUAGAAAAGGGAGUUGUCUGACCUUGAAUUUUGGAAACCCCAUUUCACAACCAUAGCAUCUUUCAGUCUCUCAAACCAUGCCCUGGGGGCUUGUUUUAAACCGUAGAGAGCCUUUUUCAACUUACAGACAUGAAGAGGUCGAGAUGGAUCAAUGAAGCCCUCUGGCUGCCCCAUGUACACAUCUUCAACUAAUAUGCCAUUCAAAAAGGCAUUAUUCACAUCCACUUGUCUGAGCUCCCAUUUAUUCAUAACUGCCAAACUUAAAAUAACUCUGACUGUGGAUGCUUUAACAACUGGACUGAAUGUUUCUGUGUAAUCAACUCCUUGUGUCUGAUGAAACCCCUUAGCCACUAACCUGGCUUUGUAUCUAGAAAUGGUUCCAUCAGCAUGAUAUUUUAUCUUGAAUAUCCAUUUGUUACCAACUACCUUAACUGGUUCACUUGGCAAAACCAGAUCCCAUGUAUGAUUAUUCUGAAGUGCUUGAAAUUCUUCUUGCAUUGCCUUAAACCAUUUUGGAUUAGAUAAAGCAGCUGAAACAGAAGUAGGUUCUGAAGGUAUGGCUAGUAAAGCAGCUAAAUAAGAUUUAGGCUUAAAUAUACCAGCCUUGGAUCUGGUUAUCAUGGGAUGACCUAUAGGUGGUGCAGCAGGUAAUAUAUGAGGAGGAGAUUGUGUAUGAUGUAUAGGAUGUGUAUGUGAUGUCAAAGUAGAAGAUGAAGAGGAGGUUGAAGAAGGAGAGAAUACCUGUGGAGUGUCAGCAGGUAGGUAAUCACUUGCUAGAGAUUGUUGCAGGGGGGAUUGUACUUGUGGGAUUGGAACAAGAGUAACUUUGGACUCUGAAGAAAUAUCUGAGGGACUGCAAGACUGAGCAAUGGAAGAGAAGUCUAAUCCAGAUACAUAUGGAAAAGAUUGUUCAUCAAAGAUGACAUGAUUGGACACAUACACACGACCAGAUGAAUGAAGACACUGAUACCCUUUAUGAGAAGAGCUAUACCCAAUAAAAACACAUCUGUUUGAUCUAAAACUGAGCUUGUGUCUGUUAUAAGGUCUGAGAUAAGGAAAGCAAGCACAACCAAAGACCCUAAGAGAGACAUAAUCUGGUACUUGCUGAAAAAGUUUUUGGUAAGGUGAAAUGUAUUCAAAGUUGGUGUGGGUAGUCUGUUAAUAAGGAAUACAACAGUAUGAAAGGCAUUCCACCAGAACUUAAGUGGUAAAUUAGCUUGAGCUAACAGAGUGAGGCCAAUGUCCACUAUGUGUCUAUGUUUUCUCUCAAUUCUUCCAUUUUGAUGAUGGAUAUGUGGACAAGGAUGCCUGAACUGAAUUCCAAACUGAGUGAGAUAUGAUGCAAAGGUUCUAAACUCCCCUCCCCAAUCUGUUUGAACUGUUUUGAUGUGUUGUUGUAAGUGUUUUUCAAUAAAAGAUUUGAAUUCUGUGAAAACUUGGAGUGCAUCUGAUUUGGCAGUCAAAGGAAAAAUCCAUGUGAAUCUGCUAAAAUCAUCUAAAAUGGACAAAUAAUAUAUAUAGCCUUGAGUGGAUGCAACAUGUGAUGGUCCCCACAAAUCAGCAUAUAUAAGUUGUAAUGGUGCUGUUGUUUUUGUUGGAAUAGAUCCAAAAUGUAAAAGGUGACUUUUACCAUGUUGACAGGCAUUGCAAAAGUUUGGAGUUUUAUUGAGUACAUUGAAACUAUUACAAGCUUUCAAUACAGAUUUGAGUGUGUGUAAGGCAGGAUGUCCUAGCCUUUUAUGGAAAACAUUGACAUCGACUGAGCUAGUAUUGACAGCCAAGGCUGAUUUACACAGCAAAUGAUGAGACAAAGUACUCUUACUUAUUUCAGGAGAAAUAUCACUAGACAAAGGAGAAUGAAAAGCAAACAAAGACUGAGGUUUAUUGGAAGAAAGUUGACAAGACAAGGCUGAGCUAGUUUCAGAGACUUGAGCUGCAGAUUGGACUUGAUACAAUCCCCCUGUUGCAAUUCCUCUAAGCAAAGUGAUCCCUGAGUUCCUGGCCUUGACAACACAGACAUUUGCAAAAAACUCAAGUGUCACAUUAUUAUCUACUAAGAGCUUUGAAACACUGAGUAAAUUUUUCUUAAUAUUUGGAACAUGAAGAACAUGGUUUAAACACAAGGGUUUAUUUGCAGUAGUAGCUAGCAAUACUGAUCCAAUAUGCUGAAUAUGCAAUGCAGAACCAUUCCCAACAAGCAAUUUGUCAGUUCCAACAUAUGGCUUGAGAUCCAGUAAUUUACCUGGGUCAUUUGUGAUGUGGUUAGUAGCACCACUGUCAAUGUACCAAGCUGGAUCUUCAAUCAUCUCAGGUGCAUGAGCUGGAACAGGGACUGAAGGAGAUCCAGAGUAAUCUCCAGUAGGAGCAAAAGCAUGAGCAGGAGAGUAACCACCAUGAGAAUUAGAUGGUUGAUAAACAUUGAAAGCAGCUGGAUCUGAAUACAUCAAAUGGCCUUGAUAACCAGGUGCUCUUGGUAUGUUGAAAUUACCAAACUGAGAGUUACCAAUUCCAGCACCAUAUUGAGGAUUAAGAUUUCUACCAAAAUUACCAAAAUUUCCAUAAGCCAUAGAAGACCUAUUGCCAUUAGCAUAGCCAAAACCUCUACCAUACUGCCUCUGACCAGGCCUAAAAUUUCCAUUAAAACCACCUCUUCCUUGAUUUCUUGAAGGAACAAAAGCUGAGUUAAACCUAUUCCUGCAUUUAUUGGCACCAUGACCAGGAAUGAAAUAGAUCUGACAUACAAUUUGUGAGAAGUUACCAUCACUAGAUCCAGCUCCAGAAUUAUAACUUCCUCCAUACGAUCCAAUGUUAAACUUCUGAUUACCACUAGUGUUUUUACUAGGAUUGAACUGCUUUUGAGCAACAUUAGCUGACAAGUUAUGUGUAACAUCACUUGCAAUUUUUCCUCUCUUUUGUUCCACAUGAUUUUCAUGACUCAAUAACAAUGAAUAAAACUCAUCAAGACUGAUAUUAUCUCCUCUAGCUAACACAGUAGUAACUAGUGAUUCAUAAUCAGAGGAAUCCAAUCCAGUCAAAACAUGUUGAACGAAAUCAUUCACUUCAACAGGUUUUCCAGCUAAAGCCAAGCUAUCAGAUAUCCUUUUCAUUUUUGCAAAAUAAUCAGUUAUGGACAUCGAGCCUUUUUUAAGAGUUUGGAUUUGCAUUUUUAGAGGCAUUAUUCUAGCUUGUGACUGGGAAACAAACAUACUUGUAAGUGUAUCCAGCAGCUCCUUUGCAGUUGAGCAGUGGAUCACAGUUGUCAACAGAUUCGGCUGAAUAGAUGAGAGCAUCCAGCUCAGAAUCAAUUGAUCCGUCUUUAUCCACAUUGUGUAAGCUGGAUUGAUCUCUUGAUUCUCUGUUCCAGUUGAGAAACCAGCAGCAGAGCUUAUAGCAGAGAAAAAUUUUCCCGGACAGACUUGAUUUCCAUUGAUGAAAUCUUCUAAACCAUUUCCUUUAAUGGAUAUGAGAAUCUGAGUUCGCCAAACAAUGAAGUUAUUAUGAUCUAGUUUUAUCGGAGUAAUAAAACUAUAGGAUCCAGAAUUUUGAUUCGAAUUUGCCAUUUGUUAGCUCUGAUACCAUGAAAGAGUUUGUAUAUAGUGUUUGGUUUAAGAGAAACUAACAAGAAAAUAAAAGAAAAUCAUAAAGAACCAGAUCUGAAAAUGAUCAUAUUCUCAUUUUUUGACUAAUGAUUACAACUUGUUAUUUAUAGUAAAUAUCAGAGGCGUCACGUAGCUUGUCAGUUUGUUGGAUCUAAUAUGCAUGCAAUACAGUUCGUUAUCUUUGCUGCUGAGCUGGAUAACUAACUCAACACACGUAAGCAUCAGCAGCUCCAUUUAAUCAGAUGCUCUCAUCUGUACCAUAUUAUCAUACUCUAUAACAUCCUCCCUCAAGCUGAACUGACCUGGAUGGACAUUCAGCUUGCUUCUUAGAUAGUGAAACUGAUUGAAGGUUAGUGCCUUGGUAAGAACAUCGGCAUUUUGGUCUUCACUGGGAAUGAACUGAACUGUAAUUUGCUUAGCUGUUACUUUGUCUCUGAUGAAGUGAAUAUCAAGCUCAACAUGCUUAGUUUUAGCAUGAUAAACAGGAUUGUGAGCUAAAGCUAUGGCACUUUGAUUAUCACACCACAUUAUGGGGGCUGUGACAAGAUGAAUAUGUAGCUCUUUCAGUAAGGACUGAAUCCAAGUAACCUCAGCUGUAGCUUGAGCCAAAGCUCUGUAUUCAGCUUCAGUGCUUGAUCUGGAAACUACUGCCUGUUUCUUAGACGACCAAGAAACCAAAUUUGAACCAAGAUAAACAGCAUAACCAGCCACUGAUUUGCGAUCAUCCUUAUCACAUGCCCAAUCUGAGUCACUAAAACAAUUUAUCUGCAUAGUGCCGUAAUGAUAAAAAUGUAAUCCAAAAUGAAUUGUUCCUUUCAAAUAUCUAAGAAGCCUCUUACAAGCCUCCCAGUGCUCUGCUGUUGGUGAAGCUAAAAACUGACUAAGUUUGUUUACAGAGAAAGCUAUUUCUGGCCUAGUGAGAGUCACAUAUUGUAAAGCUCCAACUGCACUUCUAUAUUGAGAACUAUUUGAAAUAACACUUCCUGACCCCUUUGUAAGAUAAUGACCAGUGGCCAUGGGAGUAGGAACUGGACUGCAGUCAGCCAUAUUGUGUUUGGCUAGAAUAUCAGCUAUGUAUUUAGAUUGAGAGAGAUAAAUUCCAGAUGCUGUUUUGGUAACUUCUAUCCCAAGAAAAUAACUCAAUUUGCCCAGAUCCUUCAAAGCAAAAGCAUUUUGCAUAUUGGUAAUCACUUGCUGCACCAUUUGAUCACUUGAGCCUGUUAUGAUUAUAUCAUCCACAUAGACAAGAACAAAAAUUACUUGAUCACCUAUCCACUUGUAGAAAAGGGAGUUGUCUGACCUUGAAUUUUGGAAACCCCAUUUCACAACCAUAGCAUCUUUCAGUCUCUCAAACCAUGCCCUGGGGGCUUGUUUUAAACCGUAGAGAGCCUUUUUCAACUUACAGACAUGAAGAGGUCGAGAUGGAUCAAUGAAGCCCUCUGGCUGCCCCAUGUACACAUCUUCAACUAAUAUGCCAUUCAAAAAGGCAUUAUUCACAUCCACUUGUCUGAGCUCCCAUUUAUUCAUAACUGCCAAACUUAAAAUAACUCUGACUGUGGAUGCUUUAACAACUGGACUGAAUGUUUCUGUGUAAUCAACUCCUUGUGUCUGAUGAAACCCCUUAGCCACUAACCUGGCUUUGUAUCUAGAAAUGGUUCCAUCAGCAUGAUAUUUUAUCUUGAAUAUCCAUUUGUUACCAACUACCUUAACUGGUUCACUUGGCAAAACCAGAUCCCAUGUAUGAUUAUUCUGAAGUGCUUGAAAUUCUUCUUGCAUUGCCUUAAACCAUUUUGGAUCAGAUAAAGCAGUUGAAACAGAAGUAGGUUCUGAAGGUAUGGCUAGUAAAGCAGCUAAAUAAGAUUUAGGCUUAAAUAUACCAGUCUUGGAUCUGGUUAUCAUGGGAUGACCUAUAGGUGGUGCAGCAGGUAAUAUAUGAGGAGGAGAUUGUGUACACACUGAUCCAUGUACAACACAUCUCUUGAUUAUCUGUGUGUGUGCUGCUCAUCAAUGAUUAACAAGAUACAGUAGUUUUGUGAAGUCUCAUGUCUUGUGUUACAAAAUUUUGUGAUGGAAAGAAGGAAUAAUUCAACUAAAAAAAAAAAACACACGCGCGCAGCACACACACAGAGGGCCGCAACUAGCCCUUGAACCCCUAUUGAACUCGCACAAGAUACUAUUGAACUAAAUUCAAAAACAGCUGUUAAUAGCAUCUUAAAAUAUGGGUUCUAUCCAUACUCCCACCUGAAUCAUUUCUUGCGGCAUGACUCAAAAAUAACAAUAAGCCUGUCGCACCGAUAACUCAUUAGUGCAAUUUUUUUAACUCAAAAAAUUGAUACGCGUUCAUUUAGCGAAAAGUCCAAGACGCUUGCCUUUUGAAAAGAAGAGGUAUCCAAUAGAUAUCCAACCUUUAUCUUAUUUAAUUACUACCACGACAUGAUUGAUGGUGCUUAAAUCGAUUGUUUCUUUUUUAAUUUAAAGAAUUUUUCAUUAAAAAAUAUUUUAAUAUCAAAUUGCCUUCAAUAGCGUAACUGCCGCAGGCCCAGUAACAAGAUUAAUUAAAAUUUUUUGAAUUUUUGGGCAUGGAAAGAGUAGUAUUAGACUUCAGAAAGCUUAAGGUUGUUAUGUUAAAGAAUUGAUAUUGACAUAAUUUUAUUUUGGUUUUCGGGAAACAAAUUAUUUGUUGACAAGCAAGAAAAUAUUUUUGUAUUUUACAAUUUAUUAUACAUAUUUUAUCAUAUUAAAGUAAUUUUAAUAAUAAAUAGACACAUAAUAUUACAACAAAUAAAGUAAAGUUUAAAUUAUUUUGAAUAUUAUAAAAAUAAUUUUAAUAUUAUUAAUAGGAAGACAUUUUGUUAAUUUUAAAAUCUUUUUAACCUAAAGGUUUAUUUAAAAUCUUUAGAAAUCUCCAUCCCACAUCUACCCUAUUAAACAAGUUGAUGGAAAUUGAACAAUUGCUUUUUGAAGUGGACCCAUUGAGUUAUGUUCAUUACUGGUCAUUGUCUAUUCUUUCUAAGAGCCACUUGUUUUGAGCAUUAGCAAUCCUAUCUGGACUACUCCAAUUAUUGAUGUAACUCCAAUGGUUGCAUCAACAGUUGAAUGUAAGAUAGUGUUAGUUCUUUUUUGAGAAUAUAGAGGGAUCUUUAUUUGUUUCUCCGUUGUAGCGUAUUAGUAUAAAUUUCUUUACCUUACAGUUCCUACAGUCUUCCUGUUAAUGAAUUCGCUGAGGCAUUAUUGAUCCAAUCUCAGUGAAGUAAUUGUGGGUGAAAAAAAAAAAUAAAGGAUAAGAGAACGUAGCUGAAGUGCUGAAUUGACUAUUAAAGAAGAGCGUCACCUGAUCACAAUCACAUUGAUGCACAACUCACUCAGAUCAUUACAACGUCCUUUUCGCUAAUUAAUUAUGAUUAUAUACAUUUUCAUAUGGCAAGUGGCAUUGUAGAUCUAAACUACGUUGCUAUUUCAUUACGUUAAUUAAGUGAUUCUCCUCAUUGUCAUCAGCGCUUUUUGGGCAUGGAAAGAGUAGUAUUAAACAUUAGAAAGCAAAGGUUGUUCUGUCAAAGAAUUGAUAUUGGCAUAAUUUUAUUUUUGCUUUCGAGUAAAAAAAAAAAAAUUGUUGACAAGCAAGAUACUGUUUUUAUAUUUUACAGUCAGUUAUACAUAUUUUAUCAUAUUAAAGUAAUUUUAAUAAUAAAUGGAAACAUAACAUUACAAUAAAUCAAUUAAAGUUUAAAUUAUUUUGAAUAUUAUAAAAAAUAAUUUUAAUAUUAUUAAUAGGAAGAUAUUUUGUUUAUUGUAAAAUCUUUUUAACCCAAAGGUUUAUUUAAAAUCGUUAUAAUAAAUAAAAAUAUAAAAACAAAAUAAAUAUCAUAAUUUAAAAUUUUAAUAUUAUUUUAAAUAUUAAAAAUACUUUAAUGCUAUUAGUCUACUACCCAGGUUAUAUUACGUAUAUUAUAUUUGUAUAAAUUAAAACUUUUAAAGUUAAAUUUUUAAUUACUAUAUUGAAAAGUUAUUAUGGUUAAAAAAAGUUUUGGCAUUUCUUUUUGAAAAUUUGAGGGUCUGCAUGACAAUUUGUCCAAAUCCUAGAGGUAUAGGUGUCUUUUUUUUUUUUCGAUAAUCAUUUUACUUUUGAGGGAAUCCGAUGAGAAAUAAGAUAAGAGAAACGUCAAUUUAAGGUUCUCUAGGGAAAACCAAGAACUAUUCAAUUUUGUAUUUUUUGUUUGUAAAACGAAAAACAGUUUGCCAAAAAAGGUACCAAACAUAUCCUUAAUGUCUCACAUGAUUUCUUAUUAAGUCCAUACUCGAUAUAUUUAUACAUUUUAGGUAUUUUAGUUAUAAAAGAAGUUGGUCCUCCCUUUGUUUAUAAAAGGUAACUUUAUUUCGAGAUUACCACUAAAGUCUUGCAAAGAAUUAGUGUAAUGUUAAGAGAGAAUAACACAGUUUUCCAUUACCAUUUUGAAAAUAGAAAGAUGUGGAUGUGUGCAUUUAAUAUUGCGUUUACUUGCUGGAUUGAGGAAUCGGAAUCUAGAAUCGGAAUGAUUGAUGGUGUUUACUUUGCAAAUAUGGAGCAGGAAUCGGAAUUGGAAUGGUGGGGGCCACCACUAUUUGGGAAUGGGAGAUUGAUUCUCAUGGGGGAAGGUGGGAAUGAGUCUCCCAUUCCCUGGAUUGACCAUUUUGCCCUCCCUCAAAAUUAAAAAUGCCUACUUUGUCCUCUUUUAUAAUUAAUUAAUAUAAUAUUAUAAUUACUUAAUUAAUAUAUAAAUAUUUUAUUAACUAUAAUUAUUAAAAAUUAUAGUUCUUGAAUAAAUAAUCACAAUAAUUAAUUUAUUAUUAUUAUUGUUAUUUUAAUUAAUUAAUUAAUAUACUAUUAUAAUAAUUAUUAAUAUAAUUAAUUUAUAUAUUAUUAUUAUUAUUAAUGAAUUAAUAUAAUUAUUACUAUUAAUUAAUAUAUUAAUAUAUUAUUAACAAUAAUAUAUUAAUAAUUAUUGUUCGUGAAUAAAUAAUCACAAUAAUUAAUAUAUUAUUAUUGUAAUUAAUUAAUUAAUAUACUAUUAUAAUAAUUAUUAAUAUAAUUAUUAUAAUUAAUUCAUAUAUUAUUAUUAAUUAAAUUAAUAUUAUUAAAUAAAUAAAUAAUAUAAUUAUUACUACUAAUUAAUAUAUUAAUAUAUUAUUAAAAAAUAUUAAUAAUUAUAAUUUUUGAAUAAAUAAUCACAAUAAUUAAUAUAUUAUUUUAAUUAAGUAAUUAAUAUUAAUAUUAAUAUUAUUAGUUAAUAUAUUUUUAUAAUAAUUUUUAAUAUAGUUAUUAUAAUUAAUUAAUUUUUUUUACAAUUAAUUAAUAUAUUAGUUAAUAAUAAUUAUGACAAUAAUCCAUUAAGUACUUUUUAGUAAUUUGUUACAAUCUAAUUCAUUCCGAUUCCGAUUUCAAGACAAAGUAAACACAUUAAUGGCAAUUUAGCUCAUUCUGAUUUUGAUUCCUACAGUUCAAGUAAACAACUUAUUUUGAUUCCUAUUACAUAUUCCCAUUCCAACCCAUUCUCAUUUCUGUCCAUUCUCAUUUCUGCCCAUUCCGAUUUUAGCUCAUUCCGAUUUCAGUUUAGUAAACGCAGUAUAAGAGUUAUCAUGAAAAUCAUACAAUUCAAUUUCCUGAAAUAUAUAUUUUAUUCACAUGUGCCAAAAGAAUAAAUAGAUAGAAAGUAAAUUUACAAUCCUCACUCCCUCACAAUUGUUAAAGUGAAUAUGCAUUACAACUGUGAACUGUCACUACUUUAGCCCUUUUUUUUUUUUCAAUUAUAGUGUGAUGGAGACAGUGAACAUUAAGGAUAAAGUGCUCUGCUGAAAGCCAAACUUCCUUUGGCUAAUUAAUUUAGAAGUAAAGCAGAGAAUAAAGUCCUAGAUGCCUUCUGAAAUUAGAAAUACAUUUUAUAUGCUUUAAUUAUGAUUAUUUGGCAGACUAAAGACCUAAAAGAUAUGUCAAAAGUAUGAAACAGAGAGAUUAAAGAAAAAAGAAAAAAAAAAAAAAACAGAGUAUUUGUGACGUAGAAUAACAAUUGGUAAAUAAAUCCUAAAUAUUUGAGUUGUUAAAAGCAAAUAUAACAGAGACGGUAAGAGAGAUGCAGAAACAGAAAACUAUUAGCUUAUCUUGAUUUUCCCACUAUAUUCAUUUUCGAUGCUUUUCAAUCGAGAUUCUUUUAAUUCUUCUGGUGUCUGCAGCCCCGGCUCUUCUUAUAAAUCUCCAUCCCACAUCUGCACUACGAACAAGUUGACUGAAAUUAAAUAAUGUUGGAGAUGAGGGGUGAGCCGUCAACUUGUUAAAAAAAACUCAUGUAUAAUAUUAUCAAUAAUAUAAAAUAUAUAAUAAUUGUUACAAAGAAUCAUAAAUUAGAAAAAUUAAUUAUUUUACAAUCUAUUUCUUAAGUAAGAUAAAUCUUGUAAUAAGUUAAGUUAUAACGUAAAAAAUAUUUUCAAUUUAUAAUCAUUUAAGAAGUCAUUUAACAAUAAAAUCUUUCUUUUGAUCAUGUGGGCAUGCCAUAGAGUAUCAUCUAUAUUCGUGAUGAUAUUAUUAUUACUCAGUAUCCUAAAAAAAACACGAUUUAACAUUUAGAGAAAAUUCCUGCCUUUUAAAAAGAACAUGUAUGCAAUAGCUAGCCAUACUUUAUUUUACCACAACAAAAUUGAUGGUGAUUAAAUCAAUUUUCUCAAUUAAAGCAAAAUUUUAAAAAUUGAUUUAAUGCACAAAUAUGAUGAGUUUUUGUAAAAAUUAGUUUUGGAAAAUAUAGUGAGAGAAAAUGGUGACGAUUAUUUUCAGAUGUGCAAAUAGCCUAAACAUAAUCUCUAAUACCAAUAUCCAUGUGCAUCUUAAUACCUUUCAUGAUAUUCUUUCAUUCAUGGCCAUUUGUUCAAGAUUUGAAUUUGAUUAUUAAAUCAUGUUCAAUAAUGUUAGAGAUCCCAACAAUUGAAUACCAACUUAAAUCCCAAUGCUAUGUGUCAUUAACAAAUGUUGUGUCAUUUAUAAUUAUUGAAUGAAUAAUUCGUUAAUUUAUUGAUAAAUAAAAAUUUAUUAAUUUAAAGAGAGAUACUUCUUCUUUUUUUGUUUUAAGAAGAGUUUUGUUGGUACAUGUACAUACUUAUAAAGAAAUAAACUUGUAAUUAUACUAUAUCUUUCUUUCUUUGUUCAGUUUGGUGGGAUAUUGUGAUAAAUCAUUGGAUUAAAAUACAUUUCUAAAUUAAAACUUGUUAAAAUCUAAUUUAUUUGGGAAACGCAUAUUAUUUGUCAGUUGUACUUCUCAACUUAGCAAGUUAUUUCUAACUUGUCAGUCUCUAUUGGUUCUCUAAAAGCUAAUAGUCUCGAAUCUCCCGCAUUUGAUAUCUUGCCAUUACUGUUGGCAUUUGUUAAGUAUAGCUGAAGCUGGUGACGUGUAUAAGCUGCUGAUGAAGCUGCUGAGUUGGCUGGCUGGUGAUGUGUAUAAACUGAAGGUGCUGAGCUGGAUUGGGUUGUUGUUCACACCAACUAAAGAUGUAACAGAUUAUCCAGCUGGCUUGUUAUGAUUGGAAGUUAGAUUAGUUUGUUAAUACAGCAAACAAUGAGCUCUGUUUUGGUAGUUAGUUUUGAGUGUAACUAUAAAUACUGGCUAACAUGUUUUCAGUGUUAAGCUUGAGUUUUAAUCAAUAAAAAUCAAUUCAGUUAAAGUUUCUUUGUUAACUUUCUUUCACUUUCUCACUUGCCAAACAACCUAUUAAUUCUAAAAUGGUAUCAGAGCUUGCACCUAUGUCAGGAUCUAAUCAUAUAGCUUCCUCAUCACUUUCAUUCAAUUUUGUUCAACCUAUAAAACUCGAUAGAUCAAACUACUUGGUGUGGAAAGCUCAAGUUAGAACAUCGAUCAUUGCUAAUGGACUUGAGAGCUUCAUCAAUGGUGAGAGUGUAUGUCCAAAAUGUUAUCUCAUUGAUUCUAUUCAAGAACUUCAAAGAUCUGGAGCUGAAACAUCACAGAAGCAGGAAAAUCCAGAGUAUAUCUUAUGGAUGAAAACUGACAAACUUCUGCAGAGCUGGAUGCUUUCGUCAAUGGUGGACAAUGUAUUAAUCAUGGUGAUCAAUUGUGAAACAUCACUUGAACUUUCGGAGAUGCUUGCUAGAAUCUUCAUGUCACAAUCCAAAGCGAGAUAUCUGCCUUUGAAGAUGCAGAUUCAAUCAACAAAUAAAGGAUCUCUCUCCAUCAGUGAUUACUUCAAAAGGAUGAAGAAAAUUGCUGAUAGCUUGGCCAUUGGAGGUAAUCCAAUUACUUCGAAUGAACUGAUUAUUCACUUGCUUACUAGAUUGGAUGAAAACUAUGAAUCCAUAGUCACAAAUAUACUUACUAGACUGGAAAAAGAGAGACUUACUGCUGAAGAGGUGUACUCUAUGUUACUUAGUCAUGAAACUAGGUUGGAAAUGAGCAAAGGAAAAUCACAUAAUGAACCUCUGCAUGAUAUGACAUCAAAUUUUGCUCAGAAAGGCCAAGGUUAUAAUACUGGUCCUGGAAGAGAUGUUGUGUGUCAAAUCUGUUACAUUCCAGGCCAUGGAGCUUAUAAGUGUAAACAUAGAUUCAAUCAAGGGUUUAUUCCUAGAAACAAAGGCUUUGGUGGUUUCAGGCCAAGAGGUGGAGGUCAGAAUUAUAGAGGAUUCCCUAGAAAUAAUCAGAAUUAUUUUGGUAGAGGUUCUGGAUACAAUAGUUCUGCUUUUGGAUCUGGAUUCAGACCUAACUUUCCCAGGCAAGCCGGACCUACUGGACCUUUCUUUGGCUAUGUUGCCUAUCAGAAUCCAGGAUUCAUGAAUCCUCAAGGUGCCUUUGACUUUCCAAGUGCAAAUGGUGAUUAUACUGGUGUUCCAACAGCAAACAUGUAUGUUGGAAAUUAUGGCAUUCCUCAUAAUGUCUCUCCCUCUGCACAAUUGGCAAACUUCAGCAAUGUAGCUGAUUCAGCCUGGUACCUUGACUCUAGAGCAACAAAUCACAUUGCUCAAGAUGCAGGUAUACUUUCUAAGUGCUCAACUUACCAUGGCCUUGAAAAACUACAUGUAGGAAAUGGUAUGGGGCUGCCUGUUCAUAAUGUUGGUUUUGUUGCUGUUAAAACCUUGACUACAACACCUAUAUACCUAAAUCAUGUUCUGCAUGUCCCUAAAAUUACUAAAAACCUUAUCAGUGUUUCCAAAUUGCUUGCUGAUAACAAUGUUUUUAUUGAGUUUUACAACCAUGUUUGUUUUGUUAAGGACAAGAAUUCAAGAAUCACAUUGCUCAAGGGGAUUGUUAGAGGAGGUCUUUAUCAAGUUUCAAGCUUAAAUACAGUCUGUGAUAACUCCAGUUCAGUGUUCCCAGUGUCAACCACUUCUGAGUUUGUUUUUACUUCAAUAAGUACAUUCCCAGCAACUCCAGUGUCUAUGUUUACUCAACUAAGUUCAUUUGAUACUAAGUUUCACUCUUGUAUGCUUGUAAAUAAUUCUCAAAUCAAUAAGAAUGUCCCUGUGGCUCACUUUGCUUCAUAUAACAAGCCUAUUGAUUAUAGUUUACUGCACAAAAGAAUGGGUCAUCCAACUACUCAUGCUUUAAAACAGAUCAUGAAAUGCCUGAACUCAAAUUUUAUUCUUCCCAAAGAUUUCACAACACAGUUCUGUGAUGCCUGUCAACUAGGCAAGUGCCAUACGCAGCAUUUUCCCUCCAUAGAAACUUCAACCACUCAGCCCCUUGAAUUACUACAUGCUGACCUUUGGGGACCAGCUCCCAUUACCUCUUCACAAGGUUACACCUACUAUCUAUCUAUCUUAGAUGACUACACUCGAUACACUUGGAUUUUUCCUCUCAUUGCCAAAUCCAAAACCUUGUCAGCCUUUAUUGAAUUCAAAAACAUGAUUGAAAACUGCCUGAACUUGAAAAUUAAAUGUUUACAAACUGAUUGGGGUGGAGAAUUCAGGCCUUUUGUGUCAUAUCUUUCUAACCAGGGUAUACAAUUUUGACAUCCCUGCCCUUAUAUCCAUCAUCAACAUAUUACCUGAGAUUGGGAUUCAUUAAAAUCCUCAAUGUAAUCGGUGGAACGAAUGGAUUUCUUCUGUUCACCAAUCCACCAAAAUUUCUGUAAUUAAAUUCAAGAGUCAAGAUCUAUGCUUAUAAUCUAUUCAACAGCUAAUAUUCUAUUUUAUAUUUACUUAAAUAUGAAGAGCUAUGCUUGUCAUUAACUUCAAAUGUGAUCGAAGCAGCCUUACAUCUGUAUAUUACGUAUUCCCAACUUUUUUUUGACUUCAUUUACUUUCUUUUCAUGUUAUUUACUCUUUUUUCCCCCUCUCUGACAAUUGAGGUAGGGGGUCAAACUUGAAAGUAUCUUAAAAUCAAACAAUUUUUUUUUUAAGAUAGCUGCUAAUAUGCUCUAUUAGACAAUGAUAAGUAAUAACCUAGUUGUUUGCAUUAGAAAUGAUAUUUUUUGUGGUGCUGAUAAAGAGGUUGAUUAUGAUUCAACAAUUUAAAAUAUGAAAACAUGUGGAAGACGGCCGCAAUUAAAUUGAUUGUAUGAAAAUAUUUCAAUGAAAUUUUAAAAAUUUAGUACUUGUUAUCUUAUCGAGAGUUUUUUAAAUUUUUCUACUUGAACUUGACUGCUUUUGUAUUGAAUUCCUAGCGUUGCCAUUGCUUCUACUCAAAAGCCAUUUAGUUACUCAUGAAUUGUUGUUCAUAAUAGCAAUUUGAUUGAAAGUGCGGCUGCACUAAUUUUCUAGAUGAAUUUUUUCCUACAUGCUUGUUCUCGUAUGACCCAAAAUCCUGCUACAUCAGUUGUAUUAGAAAUUAAUCAACUGGGUUACAAUUAUGCAUCCCCACCAAUAUUUAAGCAAUUUAAUUACAGAAACAUUUCUUGAGGAAAGAAACUCAUAUCGCCACUAGGCUUUUAAUGAGGCUCAUUUUUAUGAAUCUGGAUGGCAUUAGAUAUCUCUCCGAAUAUUGGUGGGAGUAGAUAUGCUACAAAGUGUAUGUACGUUGACUCUCAAUAAAUACAAACGAUUCUCUGAUCUGAUUCAAAACAUCAGUACAUGCAUCAUUUUAAUGAGAAAGAAUAUUCUAAGAACGAAAUUGAAGGUGCAAUCAGCAGCUAAAAUGAAGCCAGAAAUGUACACGCAUGAGGAAGUUUUCCAAGAAGAUUGAUAUUUCUUUGACUAGCAAACCAUACAAGUCCAAAGCUAGCUAAACCAUACCUGCAAGUCGGGGGUUUAAAUGGAGUACUUCUAAGCAUAAAACAUUGAUUAAAACAGAAUACACACAUACAUACCAGCAAAUUCAAUAUAGCAAAAGGAGUGCAAAAGUUCAAGUUUGUAGACAACAUUGCAACCAUGGCAUGUUUAUAGCAAAUCCUCGAAAUCUGCUAAAUAAAACAAUGCCCUGUCUCAUGAAUCAAUGCUGAAUUAAAAUUGAAACUGAAAGUCUGGCUGGCGGUGUUUCCCUCUCCAAUUUUGCCUACAUAAGUGAAAAUAAGAAUAAUAAAUGGAAAUCUGCUUUUACAGUUCUUAUUAGAUAGAUAUAAAGGGAUCUUUCUUUGUUUCUCUGCUGUAAUUUGUGGCUAUGCCACUCUGUUUUUCCAGUCAAGCUGAGUCUACGUUGAGACAUAAUUUUGACAUCAGAAGCAACCUCAAUUAGUUUGGCAUUUUCAUGACCUCCUUGAAGGUUUUAUGAUAAACAUAAAUCCACUGAGAAAGUGGGAAAAAAAGAAAAUGCAUAUAAAAGUAUGAGUUAUCAGAUAAGAUUAAAACUCACCCAAUUCAAUCCAUCAGAUUCCGUAAGGAUAUAACUGGAUGUCAUACCGCCACUCCAUAUCCUCGAAAGUCCGUAGUCCUUGUCUCAACUGUGUCUGGGGCCAGUGUAAGUCCAAUUUGCGCAAGCUCUUUAUGCACCACAGCUCUUCUGGAAGCUUUCUCAAGUAAGCACAUGGGUUGACAAUUAAGCUUUCAAGUUUCGGCAUUGCUCCAGCCGCCAUCGUCCACUCAUCUAGCCAAUACAUUGAUUUCAGGUGCAAAACCUUAAGUUCGGGAAAGCUACUCAAGCCAACACAAGCAAGCUUUCUUCCUAAAUACGAGUUCUGCUUCAGUUUCAGCACUCGAAGGCGUGGAAGAUUUUCCAGAAUUGGCAUGGGAUCCUCCAUUAGCUCAGUAUUUGAUAAGCUCAGUUGGAUCAGACUUGGGGGAAAUUGGUAUUCAGACAGGACCAUCCGUGAGGGCUUGCUCUCAUUCACCAGCUUCAAGCAUUCAAGUUUGUGGAGUUCGCAAAGGCUUUUGGAAACCCCAGAUUGAUAGUAACUCAAAUCUCCAGAUAUCCGAAGAGUCCGAACACUAGGUAGUCUGCCCAAUAUAUCAGGAGUACAACUACUAGGGUUUAAAGCUGAUAUGAAAAUGAGAUUUUUCAGAGAGCUAGAAUAAUUUUUUGGAGGUGCGGGCAGAGUGAUGCAACCGAAGUUUAGAUGCAUGAGUUUUUGCAUCAUCCAAAUAUCCUCUGGUGACUGAUCUAUGUAGCUAGAUGGCAUUUCUAGUGUUUCAAGGUUUAAAAGGGUGCAUAGCAGUGAAGGAAGGCAUUUGAGCGAAGGGAUAUUCAAUUUCAAAUACUUCAAAAGAUAUAAAUUUUCUAAUCCGGGUGGAUAUUGGUCCAGGACUGCAGAACCCAUGUUCAAUACCCGAAGGUAUUUGAACCUUUUAAAAAAAUUCUCGCAAUCUUUCGGAUUAAGAUGAUUGCUUUUUGAACUGUGAUUCAGAAAAGAUUGGAGACACAUGUCAGAAUGUUCUAAAGAAAAGAACUCAAUCAGAUCAUCGUCAAUGACGCACCGUUUAACAUUUGCCACUGAUUCCUCUUCCACGUCAUGCAUCCAGACAAAUCCCGUCUUCAUUGCCACAAUAUACAAUGAAGUGUAUACAAAACUUGGAACAUAACACGCUUUAAUUGUGCCUCUGGCUCUUCUCUUACUCACUUGAAUGAAGCCGCGAUGGAUUAGUUCUUUCAAGUAAUGUUCGGCAGUUUCUUCACCGUUGUAUGGUAUGAAACCUUCAGCUACCCACAACUGAUAUAAUUGCUCCGUAGAUAUCUCAAUACUUGGAGGGAAGACAUACAAAUAGAUGCAGCAGACUUUCAAGUGAAAAGGCAACUCCAUCACAGAAAAAAUUUGUCUCCAAACUGUCAGAACCACUUCGCCUUGAAGAUAAUUUUCUAAUGGCAUACUUCCAUAGUGUAGGAUGAAAAAUUGCCAGGCCUCAUGCUUUAAUCUGAUCAAUGGUCCUCCAAAGAGCACUGAAUCACGCCGAAUCUUCUCUUCAUUUUCCAUUUCCAACGACGCAAUGAGGCCCGGAUCAGUGACUGUUAUCAAUACUCUGCUUCCAUUCUCAUCACCAGGAAGAAGUUCUUCGAGAUCACUCCAUAUCUCACUGUUAUCGAAGACAUCAUCAAGCAAAAUAAAGUACUUCUUGUUUGUUAGGUAAUCUCGAAGAAUAGAUUUCUUCAAUUGAUAAUCUUCACCGAUAAUUACACUAACCCGAGAUGGAGGCAUCACAGACUUGAUUAUGUCAUCCAACAUCUUGCCAAAAUCAUAGAAUAUAGAAACCCUGACCCAAGCAAGACAGUCAAAAUAGAACUUGACAUGGUUAUUAUUGUAAGUAUCUUCUGCAAAAGCAGUCUUAUCGAAGCCACUGCUGUCGAGAAUUGUAACCACUGCAAGCCGAGGGCGUCCUUCAAUCAAUAAAUCAAACAACUCCUCCCUGCCCCUUUCAAAUUCAUUGAUAUCAAGCCGAGGUUGUCCCUCACUCAAUAGGUGAAUGAUUUCGUUACUUUUUUUACUGAUAUCAAAACCAUUGUCGCCGGGUGGAAGUUGUUGCAUCCGAUUACUAAUAUCAAUGAUUUUACUGUGGAGACCAGCAAGAAGAGCCAUAUUAGUACUGCUUUCACUUUCGUUUUCACUGUUUUGCUGCUGCAUAAUGUUGAUGAAGAAUGUGUCAAUGGCUUCCUCAGAUUCAUGGACAAAGUCAUUGAUGUCCUUCACAAUGCCCAAAAGGUCCGCUCUUUCAACUUCUUCUUCAUCGCUUUCUUCUAAGUCCAACAGUUGCAAAAAAGGCAAAGAUAUUUUGGAGUCAUCGAAUUCUUCUCUAAUGAGUUGAAAGAAAUGCCGAGCCAUGUCAGCUUCAUAUUUUCCCAGCAGGGUAGUAGCAAUAAUUUCGGACUCCGUAAGAAGGUUUUGAAAAAGUGGGGUUAAAUUUGUUGAAUCAGGCAGCGUUAACGGGCCUUCUUCACCUGCUAACACCCUUUUCAACCUCUCACAAAACAGUCGGAGGUGGAAUUCCAGCAUAUCUCCUUCUCUCCGUAGCACUCAGAGGUAUAGCUGAAAGAUUAAACACCAUGGAAGAAUUUGAAAGGAAAAUGCCAAGACAUUAUUGCUCAUUUUUUAACUCAAAAGAUUGAUACGCGUUCAUUUAGAGAAAAGUCCAAGACGCGUGCCUUUUGAAAAGAACAGGUAUCCCAAUCGGUAUCCGACCGAUAUCUUAUUAAAUUACAACCAUGACAUAAUUGAUGGUGCUUAAAUCAAUUGUUUCUUUUUUAAUUUAAAGAAUUUUUCAUUAAAAAAAUAUUUUAAUAUCAAAUUGCUUUCAGUGGCGUAACUGCCUCAAGCCCAGUAACAGGACUAAUUAAAAAUUUUACAAUUUUUGGGCAUGGAAAUAGUAGUAUUAAACAUUAGAAAGGUAAGGUCGUUCUGUUAAAGAAUUGAUAUUGACAUAAUUUUUUUUGGUUUUCGGGGGAAAAAAAAUUGUUGACAAGCAAGAAAAUAUUUUUAUAUUUUAUAAUUUAUUAUACAUAUUUUAUCUUAUUAAAGUAAUUUUAAUAAUAAAUAGAAACAUAAUAUUACGAUAAAUAAAUUAAAGUUGAACUUAUUUUGAAUAUUAUAAAAAAUAAUUUUAAUAUUAUUAAUAGGAAGACAUUGUAUUAAUUUUAAACUUUUUUAACCCAAAGGUUUAUUUAAAAUCUUUAUUAGAAAUACAAAUAUAAAAUUAAAUAUCAUAAUUUAAAAUUUUUAAUAUUAUUUUAAGUAUUAAAAAUAUUUUAAUGUUAUUAGUCUACUACAUAGAUCAUAUUACUUAUAUAAUAUUUGUAUUAUUAAAAAUUGUUAAAAUCAAAUUUUUAGUUAGUAUAUUCAUGAGCUAUUAUGGUUAAAAAAAAAAAGACCUUAUUAUUACUUUUUUAAAAAUUGAGGGCCUGCGUGAUAAUUUUUUCAAAAAGAAAAUGCUUGGUAUGUAGGAGGGGUACAGAAACAGGACUCCCAAAAUCUCUCACCCUUUUUUAAUUAAAAAAAAAAAUUAAAAUAUCAAUAAAAAGUAAUAAAGAAAAUAGAAUUUUAUCUGCUCCUUACUCCAUUUUUGCAACUCUCUCACCAUCCCUAUCGAGCAGCCCUCUCUCUCACUGUCUCACUCACACAGUCCUUUUCACGAUUUGAAAUUCUUUGGCCCUCUGCAUUACAAGAAAUUAACGCUUUGGUUCUCCCAAGGGUAGAUUGGUUUUAUUGGGAAGCUAUUAAUUUUUUUUUUUUUUGAAUACUGAUUAAUCAUCAGAUUACUGCAUUACACAGAUAUUUACAACAACUGCUAUUGUAGCAGAGAUAUUAUACUGAUAUUUACAAUCAGAUAUACAUAAUUGGGACUUAUAUUAUGACAUUGAAUUCUAUGAAGUACAUGCCCAAACAAAUAACCCCUCACAGGAGAGGGAUGUCCAUACUCCACUCGCAUUUCGCAAGGGAGAAUGAUUUUUUGGAAGUAUAAAGAACAUUUAGCCCCCACAAUACUUUUGUGGGGGCUAGAACCGCUGCAGCAUUGUGAGGGCAGCAGCCCACCACUUCGGCCUUGGCCGAAGUGGCGGGAAGCUAUUAAUUAGAAGGAGGAAAAAGGACUAUAUUUAGAAUAUGAUUUGUUGGAGAAUCUCAGAGUUAGUCAAUUUUCAAGCCACACUUUCAAUAGCCAAUUGAUUUAGUAACCAUUAAUUACUUUAAUUUCCAUAAAUUGUAAUGACAGUGCAAAUGCAUCUGGUUGUGAUAGCUAAGGGUUAGCUUGAAGAAUUAAAUUUCAUAAGAUAUUACUGGAAAAUGCUUUGCAGAUAACGUGCUGCUUCCUUUGCUAGACUACAAUUUCAAAAAUCUCACGAGUUUUCCAUUGUUGUCACAAACCGAGAAAUUAUAAAAUACAUGGCCUGGUUCUUUGGCAAUGACCAUCUCAUCGUCGGCGGUCGUGUCGUCAUUGUCACUGUUCUUGCUCGACCGAGACAGUGAGAGAGAGGUUUGUUAGAUGGAGUUAGUGAGAGAGAGUUGUAAAGAUGGAAUGAUGAUAAAAGGAUUCUAUUUGUUUUUAUUGUUUUUUAUUAAUAUUUUAAUUUUUUAAAUUAAAAUGUGCUGCCGUUUCUCUAGCCUUUUUAGCUGCUUAACUUAACAGUAUUCUUUUCAAAAUUUAAGAAUGUAGUAGGUGUCCUUUUCUCUAAUAAUUUAUUUCAUUUUUAGGGAAUCCAAUGAGAAAUAUGAUAAAAGAACGUCAAUUACUUGUCGUUUUCAAUUUUUUCUAUAAGCUAUUUAUUUUGAGCAUUAGUGAUCUUGUCUGGACUACCCCAAUUAUUGACGUAACUCCAGUGGCUGCAUCCACUGGAAAAAGUGGAUGAGACCAUUUUUUUUUUCAUAAAGGUAACUACUCCAAUUAUUGACAUAAUUGAUGGUGCUUAAAUCAAUUUUUUCUUUCUUUUUUUUAAUUUAAAGAAUUUUGCUUUAAAAAAUAAUUAAUAUCAAAAUGCCUUCAAUGUUGUUACCGCCACAAGCCCAGUUAGAGGACUCAUUAAAAAUUUUAGAAUUUUUAGGCCUGGAAAGCAUAGUAUUAAACAUCAGAAAGCAAAGGUUGUUAUGUCGAAGAAUUGAUGUCGACAAAAUUUUAAUUUUGUUUUCGGAAAAAAAAAAAAAUUUUGUUGACAAGCAAGAAAAUAUUUUUUAUACUUUACAAUCUGCUAUACAUAUUUUAUCAUAUUAAAGUAAUUUUAAUAAUAUAUGGAAACAUAAUAUUAUAAUAAAUAAAUUAAAAUUACUUUGUAUUAUUGAAUAUUACAAAAAGAUAAUUUUAAUAUUAUUAAUAGGAAAACAUUUUUUAAUUGUAAAAUCUUUUUAAUACAAAAAUUCGUUUAAAAUCUUUAUAAUAAAUACAAAUAUAAAAUUAAAAAAUAUCAUAAUUUAAAAUUUUUAAUAUUAUUUAAAUAUUAAAAAUACUUUAAUGUUAUUAGUCUACUACAUAAAAUAUAUUAUUUAUAUUAUAUUCGUAUUGAUUAAAACGUUUUAAAGUCAAAUUUUUAAUUAGUGUAUUCAAAGGUACAAAAGAUUUAAGUAUUAUUUUUUAAAAAUUUCAAGAUACGAAUGAUAAUUUUUUCAAAUUUUAAAGAUGUAAAAAUCUUUUUUUCUGAUAAUUUAUUUCACUUUUGAGAGAAUCCGAAAACGUUAAUUUAACAUUCUUUACCUUUGUAAAAAAAGUGAAAAUCAAGAACUAUUCAAUUUUGUUUUUAUUUGUAAUUCAAAAACUUUAUUCAUUUUCGAUGCUUUUCAAAAGAGAUUCCUUUAAAUGUCUGCAGCUCCUGCUUUUCUCAUAAAUCUCCAUCCCACAUCUACACUAUCAAGUAUCAAACAAGUUGAUGGAAAUUCUUAUAAAAAAAAAAAAAAAAUUGAUGGAAAUUGAUCAAUUGCUUUUUGAAGUGGACCCAUUGAGUCAUGUUCAUUUCUGGUCAUUGUCUACUCUUUCUAUCAGCCAUUUAUUUUGACCAUUUGCGAUCUUAUCUGGACCUACUCCAAUUAUUGUUGUAACUCCGAUGGUUGUAUCUACAGUGGAAUGUAAGAUAGUGAAAGCUCUUUCUUUGAGAAAAUAGAGGGACCUUUCUCUGUUUCUCCGUUGCAACGUGCUCGUAUAAAUUUCUCUACCUUACAGUUUAUACGGUCUUGCUGUUAAUGAAUUCGCUGAGGCAUUAUUGAUCCAAUCUGAGUGAAGUAAUUGUGGGUGAAAAAUAAAUAAAGGAUAUGAGAACGUAGCUGAAGUGCUGAAGGGGCUAUUAAAGAAGAGUGUCACUUGAUCACAAUCACAUUGAUGCACAACUCACUCGUGGCAAAUUUCGACUAUACGUUCUGCAAAUUCAGCCAAACCAUACAUGCAUGAACAAAACUAAAAUGUAGUUCUAAUCACAACUGCAGUUAUGAUGUUUACCUCUCUGAUUUUUCUCCAAAACAAAUUCAGUUCAAAACAAUAAUCAAAAUAGCCACAUUUUGUUCGUCAAAAUAAAUGCCCAAAUUUUCAAUUAACAAAUCAUCUUCUCUAAACUAAAAAGCCCACAUCUCUAAAAUCAAUCUACAUAAUGUUGGAGAUGAGGGUUGAAUUGUUAACUCAGUAAAAAAAAAAAAACUCAUGCAUAAGAUUACUAAUAAUAUAAAUUAUAUAUUAAUCAUUAUAAAGAAUCAUAAAUUAGAAAAAUUAAUCAUUUUAUAAUUUAUUACACAAGUAAGAUAAAUCUCAUAAUAAGUUAUAACAUAAAAAACGUUAUCAAUAUAUAAUCAUUUAAGAAGUCAUUUAACAAUAAAAUCGUUCUUUGAUCAGUUGGCCAUGUCACAUAGUAUCAUCUAUAUUUAUGGUGAUACUAUUAUUACUCAGUAUUCUCAAAAAACAUGAUUUAACAUUUAGAGGAAAUUCUUGCCUUAAAAAAAAAACAUGUAUGCAACAGCUACCCAUGCUUUAUCUUACCAUGACAAAUAUUUUCUCAAUGAAAGAAAUUUUUUAAAAAAUUGAUUUAAUGCACAAAUAUGAUGAUUUUUGCAAAAAUUAGUUUUGGAAAACAUAGUGAGAGAAAAUAGUGACGAUUAUUGUUUAAAUGUAUAAAUAGCCUAAACAUAAUCCUUAAUACCAAUAUCCAUAUGCAUCUUAUCAUCUUUCAUGAUAUUCUUUCAUUUAUGUCCAUUGGUUCAAGAUUUGAAUUUGAUCAUUAAAUCAUGUUCAAUAAUAUUAGAGAUUCCAACAAUUGAGUACCAACUUAAAUCCCAAUGUUAUGUGUCAUUGACCAAUUUUGUGUCAUUGACCAAUUUUGUUAUUAACUAGGUGAUGAAUUUCUAGUUGAUAAAAUCACUUAAAAAUAUCUUAAAAAUUAGACAAUAGUUUGCUUAAUUUUUCCAAGUUAACUGCUCAAGAUGCUCUAUUAGAAAUGAUAACCUAAUUAUAUACAUAAAAAAUGAUGGAAAUUGAACAAUUGCUUUUUGAAGUGGACCCAUUGAGUUAUGUUCAUUACUGGUCAUUGUCUAUUCUUUCUAAGAGCCACUUGUUUUGAGCAUUAGCAAUCCUAUCUGGACUACUCCAAUUAGGAUAGUGUUAGUUCUUUUUUGAGAAUUUCUUUAUUUGUUUCUCCGUUGCAGCGUAUUAGUAUAAAUUUCUUUACCUUACAGUUCCUACAGUCUUCCUGUUAAUGAAUUCGCUGAGGCAUUAUUGAUCCAAUCUCGGUGAAGUAAUUGUGGGUGAAAAAAAAAAAAAAGGAUAAGAGAACGUAGCUCAAGUGCUGAAUUGACUAUUAAAGAAGAGCGUCACCUGAUCACAAUCACAUUGAUGCACAACUCACUCGAGGCAAAUUUCAUCUAUAAAUAAAAGAUCCCUUACUAUUCUCUUAACCCUGAGUUUUGAGAUAGAAAUUUCCCGAACUCCAACCCCACAUCCACAGACAAGUUGAUUGAAACAAUUGCUCUUGUAAUUAAGAGGAUGGGUUAGGGUUCAGUUCUUAUCAUUGUCUGUUAUUUCUUUGAAUCAUUAUCUUAAUUAAUUACAUCAAUUGUUUCUUUUUUUUAAUUUAAAGAAUUUUUCUUUAAAAAAAUAUAUUUUAAUAUCAAAAUGCCUUAAAUGGUAUUACUGCCGCAAUCCCAGUAACAGGAUUAAUUAAAAAUUUUAGAAUUUUUGGGCAUGGAAAGAGUAGUAUUAAAUAUCAGAAAGCUAAGGUUGUUCUGUCAAAGAAUUCAUAUUGGCAUAAUUUUAUUUUUGCUUUCGAGUAAAAAAAUAUAUAUAUAUAUAUUUGUUGACAAGCAAAAUACUGUUUUUAUAUUUUACAAUCAGUUAUACAUAUUUUAUCAUAUUAAAGUAAUUUUAAUAAUAAAUGGAAACAUAACAUUACAAUAAAUCAAUUAAAGUUUAAAUUAUUUGGAAAAUUAUAAAAAAUAAUUUUAAUAUUAUUUAUAGGAAGAUAUUUUGUUUAUUGUAAAAUCUUUUUAACCCAAAGGUUUAUUUAAAAUUGUUAUAAUAAAUAAAAUAUAAAAACAAAAUAAAUAUCAUAAUUUAAAAUUUUAAUAUUAUUUUAAAUAUUAAAAAUACUUUAAUGCUAUUAGUCUACUACAAAGGUUAUAUUACUUAUAUUAUAUUUGUAUAAAUUAAAACUUUUAAAGUUAAAUUUUUAAUUACUAUAUUGAAAAGGUAUUAUGGUUAAAAUAUGUUUUGGCAUUUCUUUUUAAAAAUUUGAGGGUCUGCAUGACAAUUUGUCCAAAUCCUAGAGGUAUAGGUGUCUUUUUUUUUCGAUAAUUCAUUUUACUUUUGAGGGAAUCCGAUGAGAAAUAAGAUAAGAGAAACGUCAAUUUAACGUUCUCUAUGGAAAACCAAGAACUAUUCAAUUUUGUAUUUUUUGUUUGUAAAACGAAAAACAGUUUGCCAAAAAAGGUACCAAACAUAUCCUUAAUGUCUCACAUGAUUUCUUAUUAAGUCCAUACUCGAUAUAUUUAUACAUUUUAGGUAUUUUAGUUAUAAAAGAAGUUGGUCCUCCCUCUAUUUAUAAAAGGUAACUUUAUUUCGAGAUUACCACUAAAGUCUUACAAAGAAUUAGUGUAAUGUUAACAGAGAGUAACAUAGUUUUCCAUUACCAUUUUGAAAAUAGAAAGAUAUGGAUGUGUGCAUUUAAUGGUGUGUUUACUUACCGGAUUGAGGAAUCAGAAUCUGGAAUUAGAAUGAUUGAUGGUGUUUACUUCGCAAAUAUGGAGCAGGAAUCGGAACUGGAAUGGUGGGGCCCACCACUAUUUGGGAAUGAGAGAUUGAUUCCCAUGGGGGAAGGUGGGAACGAGUCUCCCAUUCCCUGGACUGACCAUUUUGCCCUCCCUCAAAAUUAAAAAUGCCUACUUUGUCCUCUUUUAUAAUUAAUUAAUAUAUAAAUAUUUUAAUAACUAUAAUUAUUAAAAAUUAUAGUUCUUGAAUAAAUAAUCACAAUAAUUAAUUUAUUAUUUUUAUUUUUAUUUUAAUUAAUUAAUAUACUAUUAUAAUAAUUAUAAAUAUAAUUAAUUUAUAUAUUAUUAUUAUUAUUAAUGAAUUAAUAUAAUUAUUACUAUUAAUUAAUAUAUUAAUAUAUUAUUAAAAAUAAUAUAUUAAUAAUUAUUGUUCGUGAACAAAUAAUCACAAUAAUUAAUAUACUAUUAUUUUAAUUAAUUAAUAUAAUUAAUUUAUAUAUUAUUAUUAUUAUUAAUGAAUUAAUAUAAUUAUUACUAUUAAUUAAUAUAUUAAUAUAUUAUUAAAAAUAAUAUAUUAAUAAUUAUUGUUCGUGAACAAAUAAUCACAAUAAUUAAUAUACUAUUAUUUUAAUUAAUUAAUAUACUAUUAUAAUAAUUAUUAAUAUAAUUACUAUAAUUAAUUCAUAUAUUAUUAUAAUUAAUUAAUUAAAUUAAUAUUAUUAAAUAAAUAAAUAAUAUAAUUAUUACUACUAAUUAGUAUAUUAAUAUAUUAUUAAAAAUAAUUAUAAUUUUUGAAUAAAUAAUCACAAUAAUUAAUAUAUUAUUUUAAUUAAGUAAUUAAUAUUAAUAUUAUUAGUUAAUAUAUUUUUAUAAUAAUUUUUAAUAUAGUUAUUAUAAUUAAUUAAAUUUUGUUACAAUUAAUUAAUAUAUUAGUUAAUAAUAAUUAUGACAAUAAUCCACUAAGUAUUUUUGAGUAAUUUGUUACAAUCUAAUUCAUUUUGAUUCCGAUUUCAAGACAAAGUAAACACAUUAAUGACAAUCUAGCUCAUUCCGAUUUCGAUUCCUACAGUUCAAGUAAACAACUUAUUUUGAUUUUCAUUACCUAUUUACAUUCCAGCCCAUUCUCAUUUCUUCCCAUUCUCAUUUCUGCCAAUUCCAAUUCCAGCUCAUUCCGAUUCCAGUUUAGUAAACGCAGCAUAAGAGUUAUCAUGAAAAUCAUACAAUUCAAUUUCCUGAAAUAUAUAUUUUAUUCACAUGUGCCAAAAGAAUAAAUAGAUAGAAAGUAAAUUUACAAUCCUCACUCCCUCACAAUUGUUAAAGUGAAUAUGCAUUACAACUGUGAACUGUCACUACUUUAGCCCCUUUUUUUUUUUCAAUUAUAGUGUGAUGGAGACAGUGAACAUCAAGGAUAAAGUGCUCUGCUGAAAGCGGAACUUCCUCUGGCUAAUUAAUUUGGAAGUAAAACAGAGAAUAAAGUCCUACAUGCCUUCUGAAAUUAGAAAUACAUUUUAUAUGCUUUAAUUAUGAUUAUUUGGUAGACUAUUGACCAAAAGACAUGUUAAAGUAUAAAACAGAGCGAUUAAAGAAAAAAAAAGGAGUGUUUGUGACGUAGAAUAACAAUUUGUAAGUAAAGUCCUAAUUUGAGUUGUCAAAAAGCAAAUAUAACAGGGAAGGUAAGAGGGAUGCAGAAACAGAAAACUAUUAGCUUAUCUUGAUUUUCCCACUAUAUUCAUUUUCGAUGCUUUUCAAACGAGAUUCUUUUAAUCCUUCUGGCGUCUGCAGCCCCUGGUCUUCUUAUAAAUUUCCAUCCCACAUCUGCACUAGGAACAAGUUGAUUGAAAUUAAAUAACAUUGGAGAUGACGGACAGAUGAGCCGUCAACUUGGUAAAAAAACUAUGUUAAUAUUGUUAAUAAUAAAAAAAAAUAUAAUAAUCAUUACAAAGAAUCAUAAAUUAGAAAAAUUAAUUAUUUUACAAUCUAUUUCGUAAGUAAGAUAAAUCUUGUAAUAAGUUAAGUUAUAACGUAAAAAAUAUUUUCAAUUUAUAAUCAUUUAAGAACUCAUUUAACAAUAAAAUCUUUCUUUUGAUCAAUUGGUCAUGCCACAGAGUAUCAUCUAUAUUCGUGGUGAUAUUAUUAUUACUCCGUAUUCUCAAAAAACACGAUUUAACAUUUAGAGAAAAUUCCUACCUUUUAAAAAGAACAUGUAUGCAACAGCUACCCAUACUUUAUCUUACCACGACAAAACUAAUGGUGACUAAAUCAAUUUUCUCGAAUAAAGCAAAAUUUCUUAAAAUUAAUUUAAUAUACAAAUAUGAUGACAUUUUGCAAAAAUUAGUUUUGGAAAAUAUAGUGACAAAAAAUAGUAAUGAUUAUUGUUUAGAUGUGUAAAUAGCCUAAACAUGAUCCCUAAUACCAAUAUCCACGUACAUCUUAACACCUUUCGUGAUAUUCUUUCAUUCAUGGUCACUGGUUCAAGAUUUGAAUUUGAUCAUUAAAUCAUGUUCAAUAAUAUUAGAGAUCCCAACAAUUAAGUACCAACUUAAAUCCUAAUGCUAUGUGUCAUUGACAAAUGUUGUGUCAUUUUUUGUUAACUGAGUGAUGAAUUUCUAGUUGAUAAAAUUACUUAAAAAUAUCUUAAAAAUCAGACAAUAGUUUGCUUAAUUUUUUGAAGCUAACUGCUCAAGAUGCUCUAUUAGAAAUGAUAACCUAAUUAUAUACAUAAAAAAUGAUGUAUUUUUUGCGGUGUUGAUAGUGAGAUUAUCAUUCAACAUGUUAAAAUAUGAAAACAUAUGGAAGAAGGUUGUAAAUUGAUUGAAUGAAAAUAUUUCAGUGAAGUCUAAAAAAUUUGGUACUUGUUAUCUUAUCGAAAGUUUUCUAAAUUACAUUCGUGGCACUGCCACUGCUUCCAUGUGAAGGUCAUUAAAAUUUGUGUUAGUUACCUAUAUGUUGAAUAAUAAUUUUAUUCAUGAAUUGUUGCUCAAUAUAGCAGUUUCUAGAUGAAUUUUCCUACAUGUUUGUCCUCAUAUGACCUAGAAUGCUGCUAUAUCAAUUGUAUUGGAAAUUAUUCAAGUGGGUUUGUGCUCUAUACCCCCACCAAAAUUUAAGCAAUCUACAGAACAUUCCUUGUGGAAAGAAACUUAUUUCGCUACUAGGUGGGAGUAGAUUUCUAAGCUAAUGCUCGGCAGAUCUCUAGGCUAUACUAAAAAGUGUAUGCACUUUGACUCUCAAUAUAUACGAGUGAUUCUAUGAUGACUGAAAACAUCAGUACAUGCAUGAUUUUAUAAGAAAGAAUAUUCUAAAAUUAUUUAUGUAUCACCAUUUGUAGUUGUACCCUCUCGAAUGAAGGUGCAAUCAGCAACUAAAAUGAAGCCCGAAAUGUACACGCGUGAGGCAGUUUUUCUAGAAGAUUGAUACUUCUCAAACUAGCAAACCGUACAAGUCCAAAGCUAGAAAAGGAGUGCUUCUAAGCAGAAAACAUUGAUUAAAACAGAAUACACACACACAUACCAGUAAAUUCAAAAUAGAAAAAGGAGUUCAACUGUUCAAGUUUGUGGACAAUAUUGCAACCGUGGCAUAUUUAUAGCAAAUCCUUGAAAUCUGCUAAAUAAACAAUGCCCUGUCUCAUGAAUCAAAGCCGAAUUAAAAUUGAAAUUGAAAGUCCGGCUGGUGUUGUUUCCCUCUCCAGUUUUGCCCACAUAAGUGAAGGGAAAUGAGAAUCAUAAAUUAAAAUCUGCUUUUACAGUUUUUUAUUAGAUAGAUAUAAAGGGAUCUUUUUUGUUUCUCUGCUGCAAUUUGUGGCUAUCCCACUCUGUUUUGCCACUCAAGCUUAGUCUACGUUGAGACAUAAUUUUGACAUCAGAAGCAACCUCAAUUAGUUUGGCAUUUUUAUGACCUCCUUGUACGUUUUACGAUAAACAUAAAUCUACUGAGAAAGUGUGAAAAAAAGAAAAUGCAUAUAAAAGUAUGAGUUAUCAGACAUGAUUAAAACUCACCCAAUUCAAUCCAUUAGAUUCCGUAAGGAUAUAACUGGAUGUCAUACCGCCACUCCAUAUCCUCGAAAGUCCGUAGUCUUUGUCUCAACUCUGUCUGAGGCCAAUGUAAAUCCAAUUUGCGCAAGCUCUUUAUGCACCACAGCUCUUCUGGAAGCUUUCUCAAGUAAGCACAUGGGUUGACAAUUAAGCUUUCAAGUUUUGGCAUUGCUCCAGCCCCCAUCGUCCACUCAUCUAGCCAAUACAUUGAUUUCAGGUGCAAAACCCUAAGUUCCAGAAAGCAACCAGAGCCAACGCAGGCCAGCUUUCUUCCUAAAUACGAGUUCUGUUUCAGUUUCAGCACUUGAAGGCUUGGAAGCUUUUCCAGCAUUGGCAUGGGAUCCUCCAUUAGCUCAGUAUUCGAUAAGCUCAGAUGGCUCAGACUUGGAGGAAAUUGGUAUUCAGACAGGACAAUCCGUGAGCGCUUGCUCUCAUUCACCAGCUUCAAGCAUUCAAGUUUGUGGAGUUCGCAUAGGCUUUUGGAAACCCCAGAGUGAUAGCAACUCAAAUCUCCAGAUAUCCGAAGAGUUUGAACAUUAGGCAGUCUGCCCAAUAUAUCUGGAGUACAACUACUAGGGUGUAAGGCUGAUAUGAAAAUGAGAUUUUUCAGAGAGCUGCAAUAAUUUUUUGGAGGUGCAGGCAGAGUGAUGGAACCGAAGUUUAGAUGCAUGAGUUUUUGCAUCAUCCAAAUAUCCUCUGGUGAAUGAUCUAUGUAGCUUGAUGGCAUUUGUAGUGUUUGAAGGUUUAAAAGGGUGCAUAGCAUUGAAGGAAGGCAUUUGAGCGAAGGGAUAUUCAAUUUCAAAUACUUCAAAAGGAAUAAAUUUUCUAAUCCGGGUGGAAAUUGGUCGAGAACUGCAGAACCGAAGUUCAGUACCCGAAGGUGUUUGAACUUUUUACAAAAAUUCUCGCAAUCUAUAAGAGCGAGAUGAUCGCUUUCUGAACUGUGAUUCAGAAAAGAUUGGAGAUACAUGUCAGAAUAUUCUAAAGAAAGGAACUCAAUCAGAUCUUCCAAAAUGAAGCACCGUUUAACAUUUGCCAGUGAUUCCUCUUCCAUGUCAGGCGUCCAGACAAAUCUCGUCUUCUCUACUACCAAAGCCAAUAACGUAUAUACAAAACUUGGAACAUAACACGCUUUAAUUGUGCCGCCGGCGCUUCUCUUACUCACUUGAAUGAAGCCGCGAUGGAUUAGUUCUUUCAAGUAAUGUUCGGCAGUUUCUUCACCGUUGUAUGGUAUGAAACCUUCAGCUACCCACAACUGAUAUAAUUGCCUCGUUGAUAUCUCAUUGCAUGAAAGGAAGACACACAAAUAGAUGCAGCAGAUUUUCAAGUGAAAAGGUAACUCCAUCACAGAAAAAAGUUGUCUCCAAACUGUCGGAAUCGUUUCGCCUUGAAGAUAAUUUUCUAAGGGCAUACUUCCAUAGUGUAGGAUGAAAAAUUGCCAGGCCUCAUGCUUUAAUCUGAUCAAUGGUCCUCCUACGAUCACUGAAUCAAGCCGAAUCUUCUCUCCGUUUUCCAUUUCCAACAGCGUAAGGAGGUGUGGAUUAGUGACCAAUAUCAAUACUCUGCUUCCAUUCUGAUUAUCAGGAAGAACUUCUUCAAGAUCACUCCAUAUCUCACUGUCAUCGAAGACAUCAUCAAGCACAAUAAAGUACUUCCUGUUUGUUAGGUAAUCUCGAAGAAUAGAUUUCUUCAAUUGAUAAUCUUCCCCGAUAAUUACACUAACCCGAGAUGGAGGCAUCACAGACUUGAUUAUGUCAUCCAAUAUCUUGCGAAAAUCGUAGGCUACAGAAACCCUUACCCAAGCAUGACAGUCAAAAUAGAACUUGAUAUGGUUAUUAUUGUAAGUAUCUGCAGCAAAAGCAGUCUUAUCGAAGCCACUGCUGUCGAGAAUUGUAACCACUGCAAGCCGACGAUGUCCUAAAUCAAUAAAUCAAACAACUCCUCUCUGCCACUUUCAAAUUCAUUGAUAUCAAGCCGAGGUUGUCCCUCACUCAAUAGGCGAAUGAUUUUGUUUCUUUGUUCACUGACAUCAAAACCAUUGUCGCCGGGUGGAAGUUGUUGCAUCCGAUUACUAAUAUCAAUGAUUUUACUCUGGAGUCCAUCAAGAAGAGCCAUAUUAGUGCUGCUUUUACUUUCGUUUUCACUGUUUUGCUGCUGCAUGAUGUUGAUGAAGAAUCUGUCAAUGGCUUCCUCAGAUUCAUGGACAAAGCGAUUGAUGUCCUCCAGAAUUUCCAAAAUAUCUGGUCUUUUAACGUCUUCUUCAUCGCUUUCUUCUAAGUCCAACAGUUGCAAAAGAGGCAAAGAUAUUUUGGAGUCAUCGAAUUCUUCUCUAAUGAGUUGAAAGAAAUGCCGAGCCAUGUCAGAUUCAUAUUUUCCCAGCAGAGUAGUUGCAAUAAUUUCGGACUCCGUAAGAAGGUUUUGAAAAAGUGGGGUUAAAUUUGUUGAAUCAGGCAGUGUUAACGUGCCUUCUUCUCCUACUACCACCCUUUUCAACCUCUCACAAAAUAAUCGGAGGUGGGCGUCCAGCAUAUCUCCUCCUGUCUGUAGCAGCCAGAGGUAUUGUUAUUUGCUCCAAGAAAUGUUAAAAGGAUUGGUCCUACCUCAAAGUGGUUAGUGGUGUAAAAUUAAACACCAUGGGAGAAUUUGAAAGGAAGAUGCCAAGAAACUGGCAAAGUGGCUAAAUUCCACAAAUACGGCAUUAUUGCUCAUUUUUAACUCAACAAAUUGAUACGCGUUCAUUUAGAGAAAAGUCGAAGACGCGUGCCUUUUGAAAAGAACAAGUAUCCAAUAGGUAUCCAACCUUUAUCUUAUUUAAUUACUACCAUGACAUGAUUGAUGGUGCUUAAAUCAAUUGUUUCUUUUUUAAUUUAAAGAUUUUUUCAUUAAAAAAUAAUUUAAUAUCACAUUGCCUUCAAUGGCGUAACGGCCGCAAGCCCAGUAACUAGAUUAAUUAAAAUGAAAUUAUGAUUGCACUACUUUUUUAUUUAUUUAUUUAUCUAAUCACUAUAAAAUUUUAACAUAUUUUAUUUACUAUAUUUUUUUUAAAUUUGCAUCAAUUAGUCACUUUUACACUAAUACCGUUAAAUAAUUUAAACGGAAUGAUAAUUUUACCCCUAAAUAAAAUUAAAAGUUCAUUUUAUUUUAUAAAAACUUUGAAAAUAAAAAAUUAUAAUUAUAAAAUAUCCCUAAAUUUAAUAAAGAAAUAAAUCCCAAAAUUAGAAUGUUUAUUUUUAAUAAAAAUUAUUUUAAUAAAAAAUUAUAAUUAGAAAAAUAAUUACAAAAUUUUGGGAUUUAAUAAAAAUCCCCUAAAUGAUUAAAAUUUUAGGAUUUAUUUUUUAAUAAAUAAAUUCAGUUAUUUUAAUAAAAUUUUGCAAAAUUAUAAUUUUUAAUAAAUAAAUUCACUUAUUUUUAUUAUAAUUUUAAAAAAAUUUAAAUUUUUAAUAAAAAUAAUUAUUAAAAUUUUACAACAUCUAAAUUGAAUAAAAAUCAGCUGAGCACCUAUAUUUUGUAUUUAUUUUUAUUAAAUUUAGGGGUAUUUUUAUAAUUAUAAUUUUUUAUUUUUCAAAGCUUUAUAAGAUAAAAUGGUCUUUUAAUUUAUUUAGGGGUAAAAUUAUCAUUUCGUUUUAAUUAUUUAACGGUGUUAGUGCAAAAGUGGCUAAUUGAUACAAAUUUGAAAAGAAAUGUGGCGCAGAGAACAUAUUAAAAUUUUGUGGUGGUUGGAUGAACAUAAGGCAACAGAAAGGUGGUGCAAUAAUAAUUUCCCUAAUUAAAAUUUUAGAAUUUUUGGGCAUGGAUAGAGUAGUUUUAAUUAUGUUAAAGAAUUGAUAUUGACAUAAUUUUAUUUUGGUUUUCAACGAAAAAAAAUUUGUUGACAAGUAAGAAAAUAUUUUUUUUUUACUUUACAAUCGGUUAUACAUGUUUUAUCAUAUUAAAGUAAUUUUAAUAAUAAAUAGAAACAUAAUAUUACAAUAAAUAAAUUAAAGUUUAAGUUAUUUUGAAUAUUAAAAAAAUAAUUUUAAUAUUAUUAAUAGGGAGGCAUUUUGUUAAUUGUAAAAUCUUGUUAACCCAAAGGUUAUUUAAAAUCUUUCUAAUAAAUACAAAUAUAAAAUUAAAUAUCAUAAUUUAAAAUAUUUAAUACUAUAUUCAAUGUAAAAAUAUUUUAAUGUUGUUAAUAUACUACAUAGAUUAUAUUACUUAUAUUAUAUUUAUAUUGAUUAAAAAUUUUUAAAAUUAAUUUUCUAGUUACUAUAUUCAUAAGGUAUUCUGGUUAAAGAAAAUAUCUUGAUAUUACUUUUUGAAAAUUUGAGAGCCUGCAUGACAAUUUUUUCAAAUUUUAAGGAUGUAAUUAUCCUUUUUUCCAUAAUUUAUUUCAAUUUUGAGGGAAUCCAAUAAGAAAUAUGGCAGGAGAAUGUCAAUAGGCGAAUGAUUUUGUUACUUUGUUCACUGAUCUCAAAACCAUCGUCGCCGGGUGGAAGUUGUUGCAUCCGAUUACUAAUAUCAAUGAUUUUACUGUGGAGUCCAUCAAGAAGAGCCAUAUUAGUACUGCUUUCACUUUCGUUUUCACUGGUUUGCUGCUGCUUGUUGUUGAUGAAGAAUGUGUCAAUGGACAAAGUUAUUGAUGUCCUCCAGAAUUCCAAAAAUAUCUGCUGUUUCAACGUCUUCUUCAUCGCUUUCUUCUAAGUCCAACAGUUGCAAAAAAGGCAAAGAUAUUUUGGAGUCAUCGAAUUCUUCUCUAAUGAGUUGAAACAAAAGCCGAGCCAUGUCAGCUUCAUAGUUUCCCACCAGAGUAGUAGCAAUGAUUUCUGACUCCGUAAGAAGGUUUUGAAAAAGUGGUGUCAAAUUUGUUGAAUCUGGCAACGGCAACGCGCCUUCUUCACCUGCCAACACCCUUUUCAACCUCUCACAAAACAGUCGGAGGUGGAAUUCCAGCAUAUCUCCUUCUCUCCGUAGCACUCAGAGGUAUAGUUGAAAGAUUAAACACCAUGGAAGAAUUUGAAAGGAAUAUGCCAAGAAACUGUGUAAGUGGCUAAAUUCCACAAAUAUGACAUUAUUGCUCUUUUUUGAACUCAAAAAAAUGGUACGCGUUCAUUUAGAGAAAAGAACAGGUAUCCCAAUCGAUAUCCAACCUUUAUCUUAUUUAAUUACUACCAUGACAUGAUUGAUGAUGCUUAAAUCAAUUGUUUCUUUUUUAAUUUAAAGAAUUUUUCAUUAAAAAAAUAUUUUGAUAUCUAAUACCCUUCAAUGGCAUAUCUGCCGCAAGCCCAGAACAGGAUUAAUGAAUUUUUUUUUUAAUUUUUUGGGCAUGGAAAGAGCAGUAUUAAACAUCAGAAAGCUAAGGUUGUUCUGUUAAAAAAUUGAUAUUGACAUAAUUUUAUUUUGGUUUCGGGGAAAAAAAUAUUUUCUGAAAAGCAAGAAAAUAUUUUUAUAUUUUACAAUUUAUUAUACAUAUUUUAUCGUAUUAAAUUAAUUUUAAUAAUAAAUAGAAACAAAAUAUUACGAUAAAUAAAUUAAAGUUUAAAUUGUUUUGAAUAUUAUAAAAAAUAAUUAUAAUAUUAUUAAUAGGAAGACAUUUUGUUAAUUUUAAAUUUUUUUAACCCAAAGGUUUAUUUAAAAUCUUUAUUAUAAAUACAAAUAUAAAAUUAAAUAUCAUAAUUUAAAAAAUUUAAUAUUAUUUUAAGUAUUAAAAAUAAUUUAAUGUUAUUAGUCUACUAUAUAGAUCACAUUACUUAUAUUAUAUUUGUAAUGAUUAAAAAAUUUUUAAAUCAAUUUUCUAGUUAAUAUAUUCACGAGGUAUUAUGGUUAAAGAAAAGACCUUGGUGUUACUUUUUAAAAAUUUGAGCGCAUGCAUGAUAAUUUUUUCAAAAUUUAAGAAUGUAUGUGUCCUUUUCUCCAAUAAUUUAUUUCACUUUUGAGGGGAAUCCAAUGAGAAAUAUGAUAAGAGAAUGUCAAUUACUUGUCAUUUUCUAUUUUUUCUGUAAGGUAUUUAUUUUGAGCAUUGGUGAUCUUGUCUGGACUACUCCAAUUAUUGAUGGAACUCCAAUGGCUGCAUCCACAGUUGAAUAUAUGAUGGUGUUAGCUCUUACUUGAGAAUUCAGAGGGAUCUUUCUAUGUUUCUCAAUUGCAAUGUGCUAGUAUAAAUUUCUUUACCUUACAGUUUAUAUAGUCUUGCUGUUAAUGAACUCACUGAGGCAUUAUUGAUUCAAUUUCAGUGGAGCAAUCGCGGGUGAAGGAUAAAUAAAGGAUAACAGAACAGAGCUGAAGUGCUAAAUUGGCUAUUGAAGAAGGUUUUCACAUGAUCACAAUUAUGUAAAAUAAUCAUUUUUCUGAAAUUGUGUUUCCUAAAAUUAAUAAAUUUCCUUUUUUUUAAAAAAAAAAAAAAACUCUUCUACGACGUGGUUGCACAGCAAAUUAGAGAAUUAUAGGGUCUCUAAUCAAUACUCCAACCAAUAAUGAUAUGUGCACAAAAAAUAGUAUCAAUCACAACAAGAUUAAAAUUAAAAAAAGUAACUAUAAGAUGGAAAAAAAAAUUAUUACAAGAAAAUAAUUUUUUUGUCUUUUCUAUCUUUUAUACUAUUUUUGUUUAUAUGUACUCUAAAUUCAGCCAAACCAUACAUGCAUGAACAAAAAUUAAACCGUCGUUCUAAUCACAACAGUAAUUGAAGCUACAAAAGCCAGCAAAUCUGAACGAAGACUUAAAAGAAAGAUCUUAUUCAAGUUUGUCCCCAAAAGACAGCUGAAAUGAAAAAUAUUGACUAUUGAAUGGGUCAAUGCCGAAUUACAUUUCAAAUGGAAAGCUUGGCAGCAGUUACAAUGUUUCCCCCUCUGAUUUUCCUCCAAAACAAAUUCAGUUGUAAACAAUAACCGAAGUAGUAAUAAUUUAUUCAUCAAAGAAAAUACCCCCAAGUUUUCAACUAAAAAAUCCUCUUGUCCAAACUAAAAGAACUCAUAUCUCUAAAAUCUAUCUGCAAAAUGUUGGGAAUGAGGAGUGAUCUGUCAACUCCGUAAAUAAACUCAUGCAUAAUGUUAACAAUAAUGAUAAAUUACAUAAUAAUUAUUAUAAAGAAUCAUAAAUUGGAAACACUAAUCAUUCUACAAUCUAUUAUAUAAGCAAGAUAAAUCUCAUAAUAAGUUAAGUUAUAAUGUAAUAAAUAUUUUCAAUAUAUAAUUAUUUAAGAAGUCAUUUAACAAUAAAAUAAUUUUUUUAAAUCAGUUGAUCAUACAGCGUUAUCUAAACUCCUGACGAUAUUAUUAUUACUCACUUUUCUCAAAAAAAUAUGAUUAAUGUUUAGAGAAAAGUCAUGCAUUUUAGAAAAAAUAUGUAUACUAGCUAUCCGUACUUUAUCUUACCGUGACAAAAUUGAUGGUGAUUAAAUCUAUUUUUAAAAUAGAUUUAAUUCACAAAUAUGGUGACUUUUGGCAAAAAUUAUUUUCAGAAGAUAUAGUGGCAGAAAAUAGUGAUAAUUAUUGUUUAAAUGUGUAAAUAGCCUAAGUAUAGCCCAUAAUACCAAUAUCCAUUUGCACCUUCAUUUGGUUUAUCACAUUUCAUGAUAUUCUUUCAUUCAUGACCAUUGUUCAAGAUUUUAAUUUGAUUAUAAAUUAAGUUGCAAGGGAGCUUACUUCAGUCUCUAAGCUUUUCAAUCGUGAUUCCUGCAUGCCAACGUAACUGACCUUAUAAUUGGUCUGUAUAAGAAAUCAAGCCCUUUCAGGAUCGUUUUCUUUUUCUCCCUAUUGUAGUAGUCAACUAAAUAAAGAAUGAACAACUAAACUUGGUCUAUUUCGAGGAAGACUAAGGCUUCCAAUACUAGAUGAACUUUGAAGAAAAUUAAUCCGUUGUUUUUAUUCAUCUUUGGACUAUGAAUAUAUACAAAGACUUUAACAGAAAAUAACAAAGACACAGCUAAAUGCACUACUAAAAAAAUGAGUUUUACUGACACUAAUUUAGCGUCAGUAAUUACUUUUAUUGACACUUGUUAAUUGUGUCAGUGUUGCUCAAGCCAGAACACACUGACACUAAUUUUUGAUGUCAAUAAUUUUUGUGUCAGUAAUUUGUUUCACUAUAGUAUCACUAAAAUAAUGACACGAUGAUGUUGGUAUUUAAUAAUACUAUUUACACGUCAGUAAUUUAUGUGACUAUAGUAUCAAAAACUGACUCGAUAAUAUAAAAAAUUCUUAUUGUUAUUUUAAAUAUGUAGUGUCAGUAUUUAGUAAUGUUAUGCUGCUUUUGGUUAAUAGUAUAUUUUUUAUUUUAAUUAUAUUUUUCGUGUUUGUUGUACAACCAAAAGAAAACUCGAAAUAUAUUUAUUAUUAAAUAUCUUGCAACACAAUUCAUAUAAUAAACAUCUCAAAUACAUCACUUAAAUUCACACAAUUCAACUACAUCACUAUGUGUAAAAGACUUAACAUAAGUAUCAAAUUAAAUUUUCAACAAUCUCUAAACAACAAGUGCUAACUACUACUCAAUUAAGUUUCCAACCCAAAAGAAAAAAAAAAAAGCACAAGGUCACUCAAUAUCCAUCCACGGCUUCAUUUUGUUCCCACCUACAAAUGCAUAAAAUCAAUUAGUAUACUGUGAAAAAUAAAUCUUAGUUAUUUUGAAGCAAAAAUACUCAUAAAUUACUUCAACAUGGAAGAGUAGGAUUAAAAGAAGCAAGUUAAGGAAUCAGAAAAAGAAAUUGUAGAAUCUACACGUUCCCAAGUUAAUUACAGCCUGCAAUCAUGAUACCACAAAUUGCUUCACCAAAAGUAUUCUAUCAAGUAUUAAAGAGAACACUUAAUAAGUACAUCAAUAUUUAGUAAUGAUGACAUGAACAAUGGUGUCUACAACUUGACAAGCAUAAGUUAUUUUUUUUGUAAUCUAUUUCAUUGUCUAAAUUUAAAGUAAACAAUGCUAUAAUAUAUGAUCAAGUACAUUAAGUUAACAAGCACUAUAACAUUUAUUUAGCCCACAUUCAACGAUGAUCAGUUGGACCGAAAGCCAUAAAUUGAAAAACAAAAGAUAUUUAAUGAGCUUAAAGAGGAAAAAUAAAAGUUAACAAAAUUUAAACGACUAAUGAAGAAAUUAACCAAGCCGAGAUGAAAAACAGAAAUAGAAGGCCACUAUAAGCCAAACAUUACAAAUCAGGUUGCUUUUUAAGACACGAACCCAGUUUCCAAUUACAGUACUUUGCAAUUCUUUAAAAAAAAAAGGGUUUCCCAAUUACUAAAUCUUUUUAGGUUUGAAGUGGAUUGAUAAUUAAAUUGAUGAAAGAAAGGAAAGUGAAGCAAAAAUUAGAUUCAAGUAUGGGUCAAGUAAAAAAGUAAAAGAUAAAAAUCAGAUUCAGUGCAAACCUGGGUUUCAAAUGAUUAGCAAAGGAACAACUUCUUCUUUCUUCAAUCUAAUAUUCUUCUUCGAACAUGGAAUACUAACAAAAUACAAUUAGUAAUUCAUAAACAUAUAGUAAAAUGAGAUAGGUAUUUUUUGAGAGGAGAUUGAGAAAUACAUAUUUGAUUGAAGAAAGAAAACACAACAAAAAAAAAGGACCAGGUCUCCUCAAAGAAAAGCAAAAUGGGAAAAUAGGGGAAUAGUCUAUACAAAAGCCAACCCACCACCCUUGGAGGACCAUCCUUCUUCUGAGCAAAAAUCUAUACAAGAUUAGCCCAAACCUCCAAUAUAGUAAAAUGGGUUCGACAGACUAUUUCUAAUCUGUCAUUUGCAAAGUAAAGCUAAAAUUAGAAUUGUCUACUAACAACCUUCCUAUAGUUUGUCCACUAUAUUAUUACUAUAUUAUUAGAUGUAAAAUGCCCACUAUAAAAGGUAAUUAAUAGAGAAACUUCUCUGUAGUAUUUUCAUACCUGUGCCAAAACAGAGAAGAGAAAGAAAUGGUGUCUGACCUCGGUGGUAAAGGAACCGCUAUGGUAAAGGAUCGAACAUGGAUGAAAAAUAAACUUGUGCAAAUGGAGCCACCAGCAUUUUGCAAGAAUUAAAGAUUUUGGGUGAAAUCCUCUCUUAUAAACACUUAUUUGUAUUGGGAGCAUGCAUACUUCCGAGUAUGAUAUAAUUCUAUAAAAUUUAGACUCCUGAUAGAUAGAUAGAUAACACGUAUUAGCAUUAAUUAAAUGGAAGCAUCAACAAUAAUCAAUAAAUCAUUAUAGAAAAAAAAUUAAAAAUGAAAGGAGCUGAGGCACACCAUUGUGAUGCAAGAUUGACAAUCAAAAGAACCUUUCCUUUGUAGAUGCUAAGAUCAACAUCCUGUCCCUUCGCAUCCUGCAAAUAAGAUAAAUUUUUAUAAAAAUUAAAAAAUAUAUCUGUCAAAUCCCAAAUUGAAUUAAAAAUCAAAACAAGGGAAAGAAAAUGAAAGGAACAUGUCAUCAAAUUGUAGGUGGCUGGUGGUGCUUUUUAGUGAAGUGUUUGUAGAACUGUUAGAUGUAACCAUUCUUUACGCAUCAACUUCGCUAGUGAUUUGAUUUGAUGAAGAGGAUCUUUCCUUAUCUAGUUAUCUUCUUGUGUAGAUCCAUGUAGGAUUCCUUCACGAUUUCUUUUUUUUUUUUUUGGGGGGGGGGGGGGGGAGGUUUAAUUAACAAAACAAUAAGAGUAAAUGAGGAAUCAAUCCCUAAUUUAAGGCCUUCUAAGAUUGCUGAAGCUCUGCAUAAUCAAUGUCUCCAAGAAAAAGGUUUAUUUGCAGGCUGUAGCAGCAAUUUUCUUCCCCAUGAAAUCCAACUGAUCCAUUUGUAUUGAAUUUAAGCACACGCCUGAGGCUGGAAAAGACAAAGAAAUUAAUGAAAACAGGCUAUGUAUCUUUUUUACUUAUCAUUGCUCUAUGAAUUAAUUAUGCUACUAAUCACGACGCCGUUUAAAUCUUAGAACAAUAAUAAUCUUUUAGCAACAAAUAUGACGGUUCAAUAAUAUGUUCCGACUAGGGAUGUCAUAUUGUGAGGGCUGUUAAGUUUAAGAAACGAUCAAAUCUAAUUUUGUGUUCCAAAAACUCAUUGGCUUAACAGAUUAACUCCUCUGUAGUAUUUUCAUACCUGUGCCAAAAGAGAGAAGAGAAAGAAAUGGUUCUUGAUCUCGACGGUAAAGGAGCGGUGGCUGGCUGGGCUGAAGUUGAUGUGACGGCAUAAAAGCGGUAGCAGCGACAUACUGAAAGGUGGCUAGCUAGUCGUAGGUGGCUGAAGCUUGACAACAGUAGAGCAAAGGCGGCAGUGACGUCAAGGAACGGCGGCCGACAGCAGUGAAAGUCGAGGAGCAGCGGCCGGCAGCAGUGAAAGUCGAGGAGCAGCGGCCGGCAGCAGUGAAAGCCGAGGAGCAGCGGCCGGCAGUAGUGAAAGUCGAGGAGCAGGGGAGCGGUCGGCAGCAGUGAAAGUCGAGGAGCAGGGGAGCGGCGGCAGCAACUUAAGAAGUGGUGUGUUUGAUUCGGUUAGAUUUAGGGUUUCUUAUUUUCAUUUUAUACUUUGAAAAAUUAUACAGUGUAAUUGUUCGCAUUGUAAUUUAAUAAAACAACAAACUACAAGUCAACAUGUGGUCAAGUAAAAUUAUUAUUAUUAACAACGAAUUACAAGUUGACAUGUGGCAAAAUAAAAAAUAUUAUUCUCAAAACUAUUAUUAUUAUUAUUAUUAUUAUUAUUAUUAUUAUUAUUAUUAUUAUUAUUAUUAUUAUUAUUGUCCACAAAGUAAUUGUGUAAAAUUUAAUUAAAUAAAAAAAUUAAUCAAAUUGAAAAUUUAAAAACACAUGCAUCAAUGGUUUGCACUCUAAACUUACAAAUUUUAAGUUUAGAGAUCUUGAGUUCGAGUUCAAAUUAAAACAAAAUUAAUAUUAUUAUUUUUUUAUCACUGAUGCUUUAGUAUCAAUAAUCAUUGAAUUUUAAGCUACUGACACCUUAGUAUCAAUGAUUUAUGAUACAUACUUGUUAAAGGCGGAAAAUGGUCCAAACGUACACCAUUUCUGACACUUUUUACUAAGUGUCAGAAACAAAGUGUCAGUAAAUGUCAUUUUUGUAGUAGUGAUGAUAGCAAUAAGUGCUGACUUAGACACUUAGUGGACCGCUUCUACAAGUAAAUAAAAACUAAAUAUUUAUUUUGACUAUAACAACAACUACGCUGAUGAAUAGGAUUUCACAGCAGCCACGUGAGAACUAAUUUCUCCUUAAUAUUAUUAUUAGUAGAAGUAGAUUUUCAAACUAGUCUUGAUAUAUUUCAAAGUUGUAUUAUCAAUGUAUAUGUGUCUAGAUUGUAACUAUACUUUAAAAAAUAUAAAAUUUUUAAUUAUUGCACAAUAUAUGUAGAAAAAUAUCUAUAAAAUGAUAUUAUUAGGACUAAGAAUUUUUUAUUUUAUUUUAGAUAAGUUAUUUAUUUAUUAUCGAAUGAAUAAUUUAUUAAUUUAUUGAUAAAUGAAUAUUUAUUAAUUUAAAGAGAGAUUUUUUUGGUUUUAACAAGAGUUUGUUUGGUAAAUGUACACACUUAUAAAGAAACAUAAAAAGUGGUUCCUCAAGUCAAUAGUGUUUGCUUCAAUCGCAACGGUUCAUAAUAAUAUAGCUUAGUUAGGAAAUUUGUAAUUAUACUAUAACUUUGUUUGGUACAACUUUUCAAGUAAAACUUAUUUAAGUAGAGUUGUUAUUAGUAGAGCUUUUAUAAAUAAAGCUUUUACUAAAAAAAAUUUAAUUGUUUGGUUGUCAAUGUCCAAAUUGAUAAACUUUUGUUCUUUUGUUAAGAUAUGUUUGUUUUACUUAAUAAUAGCAUCGGCAAGAGUUUUCGAUUGUUGCAACUUGCAAUGCACGCGGUGAGAGAAAAUGAGAAUCUUGUUUAAUUGUCAAUAAUGACAAACCUAAUCCUUUCAUUAGGAGUAAUUUAAUAAUCGUUUGUUAUAACUGAAUAUGUAUAAAGAAAGGAAAAUUCUAUUCAUAGAUUUCGACUUAUUUUUUGUUUAAAGUAAUUAAUCAUUCAACCAUCUUCAUUUGCCUCUGGCCAAUGCCCUUGUAGAUUAGUUGAAGCGUUAAUUACUUAAUUAUGAUUAUAUACAUUUUCAUAUAGCAAGUGGCAUUGUAGAUCUAAACUAAGUUGCUAUUUCAAUACCAGCAAAUUCAAAAUAGAAAAGGAGUGCAACUAUUUAACUUUGUAGACAAUAUUGCAACCAUGGCAUAUUUAUAGCAAAUCCUUGAAAUCUGCUAAACAAAACAAUGCCCUGUCUCAUGAAUCGAUGCUCAAUUAAAAUUUAAAUUGAAAGUCCGGCUGGUGUUGUUUUCCUCUCCAGUUUUGCCUACAUAAGUAAAGGGAAAUAAGAAUCAUAAGUGAAAAUAUGCUUUGACAGGUCUUAUUUCUUUGUUUCUCUACUGCAGUUUUGCCUACUCAAGCUGAGUCUACGUUGAGACAUAAUUUCAGUAUUGAGGUAACAAUAAUUUCGGACUCCGUAAGAAGGUUUUGAAAAAGUGGAGUCACAUUUGUUGAAUCAGGCAACGUCAACGUGCCUUCUUCACCUGCUAACACCCUUUUCAACCUCUCACAAAAUAGUCGGAGGUGGACGUCCAGCAUAUCUCCUUCUCUCUGUAGCACCCAGAGGUAACAGGAUUAAUUAAAAAUUUUAGAAUUGUUGGGCGUGGAAAGAGUAGUAUUAAACAUCAGAAAGCAAGGUUGUUCUGCUAAAGAAUUGAUUUGUUGACAUAAUUUUUUUUUUUUUUUUUUGGUUUUCGAGGAAAAAGGCAUAUUUGUUGACAAGCAAGAAAAUGUUUUUGUAUUUUACAAUCUGUUAUACAUAUUUCAUCAUAUUAAAGUAAUUUUAAUAAUAAAUAGAAACAUAAUAUUAUGAUAAAUAAAUUAAAGUUUAAAUUAUUUUGAAUAUUAUAAAAAAAUAAUUCUAAUAUUGUUAAUAGGAACAUAUUUUGUUAAUUGUAAAAUCUUUUUAAUCCAAAGAUUUAUUUAAAAUCUUUAUAAUAAAUACAAAUAUAAAAUUAAAAUAAAUAUCAUAAUUUAAAAUUUUUAAUAUUAUUUUCAAUAUUAAAAUAUUUUAAUGUUAUUAGUCUACUAUGUAAGGUAUCAGAGCCAUACCCAUCCUUGAAUGGGUCAAUGCUGAAUUACACUUGAAAUGGAAAGCUUGCUGCAGUUACGAUAUUUCCCCCUCUGAUUUUUCUCCAAAACAAAUUCAGUUGUAAACAAUAACCGAAGUAGCAAUAAUUCAUUCAUCAAAGAAAAUACUCAAAUUUUCAACUAACAAAUCCUCUUAUCUAAACUAAUUAAAAAAAACUCAUAUCUCAAAAAUCUAUCUACAAAAUGUUGGAAAUAAAGGGUGAUCCGUCAACUCGAUAAAUAUACUCAUGCAUAAUGCUAACAAUAUGAUAAAUUACAUCAUAACUAUUAUAAAGAAUCAUAAAUUGGAAACACUAAUCAUUCUACAAUCUAUUAUAUAACUAAGAUAAAUCUUAUAAUAAGUUAAGUUAGAACAUAAUAAAUAUUUUCAAUAUAUAUAAUUAUUUAAGAAGUCUUUUAACAAUAAAUUUUUUUUCUUUUUCAGUUGAUCAUGUCAUAUAGCGUUAAUGGUGAUUAGUGACUGAUUACAAAGCAAAAUUGUUUAAAAUAGAUUUAAUGCACAAAUAUGAUGAAUUUUGGCAAAAAUUAGUUUCGGAAAUGUUGGGAUGAAAACCAUAUUAGUUGAGACUUAAAGUUACUUAAUAAAAUUAUAUCACUACCAUUCAAUGGAUGAAAACUAUUUUAGUUGAGACUUAAAUUUAGAUUUAAAUGUUGAGAUAUCUAGUAUUACUCAAUCAGAAUAAACAAGAACCAAUUCUGACUAUCAUGUAGAAGCAAAUAUUUAUGCUUGGAUUUUUUACUUCUUGAAUUUGAUUGGAAAAGUUUCUGAGACAGAGAAGUGUUUUGGAUAAUCUUUUUCGGGAUUGAAACCACAAAUUGGUCGAGGAAAUUAAUUUUGGACAAAUUUUUAUUGAGUUGUGCUAAACAUCAAGAAGGGCGAGAGAAUGCUGAGAGAAACGGCAGCUUUGUGCUGCUGUUUCGACUUCUCACUCUCUCGCCAUUCUAAUAAUUUUUUAUUAUUAAAAAUAAAAAAGCGGAGAAAAUGAUAGCAGACAACCCACAUCUACCAAAUCUCCAUCACUCCAUCACUCUCUUUCUCUCUCUCCCUCUCUUGAUUUUCAUCCUCUCUCUGGCUUCCUCACUCUCUACGGCUCCCCAUCAAGCUUCCUCAGUCUCUUCGGCCUCACUAUCUCUAGCCUCACUCUCUCCAGAUUCUUUCAUUUUCUCCUUUUUUUUAUAUUUUUAACAAUAAAAAAUUAGCAUUCUGCUGAGAAAGAGAGUGGUACACGACUCUUGAACAAUUUUUUUUCUGUCGUGAUCGUCUAUCAAACCACCUAAAAAUGAGCCAAGGGGGUUCUCAGCCCUAGCAGCUCACGUACUUUCAAGAUUUAGAGUAUGGUUCCAGUCCAAGCUAUUUAAUUAGUAUUGGGAUUCGAUUUAGUUGUUCUUCUAAUUUAAUAGGAUAAAGAAUUUAAUUGGAGAAAUGUCAUUAAUAUCAUAGGAGCAUAUAUAUUGUUUUGAUUUAAAUAUUGCUAUUUUUUUAUUGUUGAAAAAAAAAACACUAGAAAAUGGGAAGCCAAAAUCUUAGCCCUGUGUUUUUACUUUUACUUUUCUCUUAAACAUUUUAAAGAUGUAAAGGAAAAUGCUCAGAAUGGUGAGAGAGUGAUGGACGUGAUGGGCUAUCUUCUAUCCUUUUUUUAAUAAAUUUUUAAGAAUAAAAAAUUUAUUAAAACAGUAAGAGAGCGAAACCAAAACGGCAGCUUGUGCUGUCGUUUCUCUUAACAUUCUCUCGUCAUUCUUGAUGUUAAGCAUUUUCCAUUUUUAUUAUGUUGUAGCACCUUUUUGGUUCCUUUUGUGUCGGCAGCCCCUUACUAUUCUCUUAACCCUGAGUUUGAGAUAGAAAUUUCCCGAACUCCAACCCCACAUCCACAGACAAGUUGAUUCAAACAAUUGCUCUUUUAAUUAAGAGAAUGAGUUAGGUUUCAGUUCUUAUUGUUGUCUGUUAUUUCUCUGAAUCAUUAAUUUUGAGCAUUACUGAUCUUAGUUAUCUGUAUUUCUCCAAUUAUUGAAGAAUUUAUUAUUGAAUGAAUAAUUUAUUAAUUUAUUGAUAAAUGAAUAUUUAUUAAUUUAAAGAGAGAUUAUUUUGGUUUUAAGAAGAGUUUAUUUGGCACAUGUACACACUUAUAAAGAAACACAAAAAGUGCCUGCUCAAGUCAAUAGUUUUGGUACAUUUACACACUUAUAAAGAAACACAAAAAGUGCUUGCUCAAGUCAAUAGUAUUUGCUUUAAUCGCUAUAGUUCAUAAUAAUAUAGCUUAGUUAGGAAAUUUGUAAUUAUACUAUGGCUCCGAUUGGUACAACUUUUUAAGUAGAACUUAUUUAAUUAGAGUUUUUAUUAGUAGAGUUUUUAUAAAUAGAGAUUUUACUAAAAUAAAAUUUAGUUAUUUAGUUGUCAAUGUCCAAAUUGAUGAAAUAUUGUUCUUGUUAACAUAUGUUUGUUUUACUUAAAAAUAAAAGUUUAGUUUACAAUUACACCAGUAUAAAAUCAGCAGAGCAUUUUUGCUUAAAUAUUUAUUAAUUUAAAGAGAGCUUAUUUAAAUAGAGUUUUUGUUAGCAAAACUUUUAUAAAUAAAACUUUGCUUAAAAAAAUUUAAUUAUUUAAUUGUUAAUGUCCAAAUUGAUGAACUUUUGUUCUUUUGUUAACAUGUGUUUCUUUUACCUAAUAAUAAAAAUUAGUUUACAAUAACACUGGUGUCAAAUCAGCAGAGAUAUUUUCCAGCCAGUCACAUUAUACAUACGGGAGCCUCUAUGUUACAUUGAAUGUACCAUACACAACUAAUAAGAACCACAUAAAUUGUGGGACCCACAUAAUUGUGUGGUUCUUAUUGGUUGUGUAUGGUACAUUCAAUGUAACAUAGCAAAAUCCUAUACAUUAUACUAAUAGCAUCGGCAAGAGUUUUCGAUUGUUACAACUUGCAAUGCACGCGGUGAGAGAAAAUGAGAAUCUUGUUUAAUUGUCAAUAAUGACAAACCUAAUCCUUUCAUUAGUAGUAAUUUAAUAAUCGUUUAUUAUAAUUGAAUAUGUAUAAAGAAAGGAAAAUUCUAUUCAUAAAUUUCGACUUAUUUUUUGUUUAAAGUAAUUAAUCAUUCAACCAUCUUCAUUUGCCUCUGGCCAAUGCCCUUGUAGAUUAGUUGCAGCGUUAAUUACUUAAUUAUGAUUAUAUACAUUUUCAUAUAGCAAGUGGCAUUGUAGAUCUAAACUAAGUUGCUAUUUCAAUACCAGCAAAUUCAAAAUAGAAAAGGAGUGCAACUGUUCAACUUUGUAGACAAUAUUGCAAGUUGCAACCAUCCAAAGGUGAAGAUCUAUGCUUAUUAUCUAUUUAACAGCUAAUAUAUAUAUAUAUAUAUUUAUUUAAAUAUCAAGAGCUAUGCUUUUAAAUAAGUUCAAAUGGGAUGAGAACAGACUUAUAUUUAUUUAUUUAAAUAUGACCCAGGCUAAUUUCUCUGAAUUUGGACAGAGUAGAUUUCUAAGCUAAUGCUUGGCAUAUCUCUGGCGAUACUACAAAGUGCAUGUACAUUGACUCUUAAUAAAUAUAAACGAUUCUCUGAUAUGAUUCAAAACAUCACUACAUGCAUAAGUUAAUAAGAGACAAUAUUCUAAGAUUAUUUAUGCAUCACCAUUUAUAGUUGUACCCUCUCUAAUGAAAUUGAAGGUGCAGCCAGCAACUAAAAUGAAGCAGAAAUGUACACGCAUGAGGCAGUUUUUCUAGAAGAUUGAUAUUUCUUUAACUAGAAAACCAUACAAGUCCACAACUAGCCAAACUGUACCUGCAUGUGUCUAGGGCUUAAAUGGAGCACUUCUAAGCAUAAAACAGUAACUAAAACACAUACACAAACAUACAUACCAAAAAAUUCAGAAAAUAGAGAAAGGAAUACAACUAUUCUUGUUUGUAGACAAUAUUGCAACCAUGGCAUCAGUUAUAGCAAAUCCUUGAAAUCUACUAAACAAAAUAAUGUCCUGUCUCAUGAAUCAAUGUUGAAUUACAGCUGAAAUUGAAAGUCUGGCAUCAGUUAUAGGAAAUAUUGAAUUACAAUAUUUCCCUUGCCGAUUUUGUCUACACAAGUAAAAUGGAAAUAAGAAUCAUAGAUGAAAAUCAACUUUUACAGUUCUAAUUAUUAGAUAGAUACAGAAUGAUCUAUCUUUGUGAGUUUGUUUUUCUGCUGCAAUGUGCGAUCCCACUCUGUUUUGAUACUCAAAUUGAGUCUAUGUUGAGACAUAAUUUUGACAUUGCAAGCAAUCCCAAUUAGUUUGGCAUUUGUAUGACCCUUUGAAGGUUUUACAAUAGAUGCAAAUCUACUGAGAAAAUGGUAAAAAAGGUGCAUAUAAAAUGAGGCAAGUAACAGAAGUAUGAGUUAUCAGAUUAGAUUAAAAGUCACCCAAUUCAAUCUAUCAGAUUCCGUAAGGAUAUAACUGGAUGUCAUAUCGCCACUCCAUAUCCUCGAAAGUCCGUAGUCUUUGUCUCAACUCUGUCUGAGGCCAAUGUAAAUCCAAUUUGCACAAGCUCUUUAUGCACCAUAGCUCUUCUGGAAGCUUUCUCAAGUAAGCACAUGGGUUGACAAUUAAGCUUUCAAGUUUUGGCAUUGCUCUUGCCCCCAUCGUCCACUCGUCUAGCCAAUACAUCGACUUCAAGUGCAAAAUCUUAAGUUCCGGAAAGCCACCAGAGCCAACGCAGGCCAGCUUUCUUCCUAAAUAUGAGUUCUGCUUCAGUUUCAGCACUUGAAGGCGUGGAAGCUUUUCCAGCAUUGGCAUGGGAUCCUCCAUUAGCUCAGUAUUUGAUAAGCUCAGUUGGAUCAGGCUUGGAGGAAAUUGGUAUUCAGACAGGACCAUCCGUGAGAGCUUGCUCUCAUUCACCAACUUCAAGCAUUCAACUUUGUGGAGUUCGCAUACGCUUUUGGAAACCCCAGAGUGAUAGCAACUCAAAUCUCCAGACACUCUAAGAGUUUGAAGAUUAGGUAGUCUGCACAAUAUAUCUGGCGUGCAACUACUAGGGUGUAAGGCUGAUAUGAAAAUAAGAUUUUUCAGAGAGCUGGAAUAAUUUUUUGGAGGUGCAGGCAGAGUGAUGGAACCAAAGUUCAGAUGCAUGAGUUUUUGCAUCUUCCAAAUAUCCUCUGGUGUUUGAUCUACGUAGCUAGAUGGCAUGUCUAGUGUUUGAAGGUUUGAAAGGGUGCAUAGCAGUGAAGGAAGACAUUUGAGCGAAGGGAUAUUCAAUUUCAAAUACUUCAAAUGGAAUAAAUUUUCUAAUCCGGGUGGAUAUUGGUCCAGGACUGCAGAACCCAUGUUCAAUACCCGAAGGUGUUUGAACAUUUUACAAAAAUUCUCGCAAUCUAUCGGAUUAAGAUGAUCGCUUUCUGAACUGUGAUUCAGAAAAGAUUGGAGGUACAUGUCAGAAUGUUUCAAAGAAAAGAACUCAAUCAGAUCAUCGACAAUGAUGUACCGUUUGGCAUUUGCCAUUGAUUCCUCUUCCAAUCCAGGCGACCAAAAAAAUCCCGUCAAUGCUGCCGGCAAAAGUAACGCAACAUAUGCAAAAGUUGGAACAUAGCACGCCUUAAUUGUGCCUCCGGCUCUUCUCUUAUUCACUUGAAUGAAGCCACGAUCGAUUAGUUCAUUCAAGUAAUGCUCGGCAGUUUCCUCACUGUUGUGUGGUAUGAAACCUUCAGCUACCCACAACCAAUAUAAUUGCCUGGUAGAUAUCUCAAUGCCUGGAUGGAACAAACACAAAUAGAGGCAGCAGAUUUUCAAGUGAACAGGUAACUGCAACACAGAAUAAAUUGUACUCCAAGCUGUCAGAAACGCUUUUUCUCCCAUGUAAAUUCUUAAUGUCGUUUUUCCAUAGUGUAGGAUGAAAAAUUGCCAGGCUUCAUGCUUUAAUCUGAUCAAUGGUCCUCCAACGAGAACUGAAUCAGGAUGAAUCGUCUGUCCAUUUUCCAAUUCGAACGAGGAAAGGAAGUCUGGAUCAGUGACCGUCAUUAAUACUCUGCUUCCAUUCUGAUUCUCAGGAAGGACUUCUUCAAGAUCAUCCAAUACAUCGUCACUCUCUUCACAGUAAUCAUCAAGCACAAUAAAGUACUUCUUGUUUGUUAGGUAAUCUCGAAGAAUAGAUUUCUUCAAUUGAUAAUCUUCACCGAUAACUACACUAACCCGAGAUGGAGGCAUCACAGACUUGAUUAUGUCAUCCAAUAUCAUGCGAAAAUCGUAGGCUAUAGAAACCCUGACCCAAGCAUGACAGUCAAAAUAGAACUUGACAUGAUUAUUGUUGUAAGUAUCAGCAGCAAAAGCAGUCUUAUCAAAGCCACUGCUGUCGAGAAUUGCAACCACUGAAAGCUGAGGUUGUCCCUCGAUCAGUAAAUCAAACAACGCCUCUCUGCCGCUUUCAAAUUCACUCUUAUCAAGCUGAAAUUGUCCCUCAAUCAAUAAGUGAGUGAAUUCGUUCCUUCGCUCUUUGAAAUCAAAACCAUUGCCUCCAGGUGGAAGUUGUUGCAACCGAUUUCUAAUAUCAAUGAUUUUACUGUGGAUUCCGACAAGAAGAGCAAUGCAAGUAGUGCUCUCACUUUCACUGUUUUGCUGCUGCGUGAUGUUGAUGAAGAAUGUGUCAAUAGCUUUCUCAGAUUCACGGACAAAGUAAUUGAUGUCUUUCAGAAGUUCCCAAAUGUCUGUUCUUUUAACAUUUUCUAAGUGCAAGAGCUGCCGAUAACGCGAAGGCAUUUCGUCUUCAUCGAAUUGUUCUCUAAUGAGUUGAAUUAAAACUCGAGCCAUGUCAACUUCAUAUUUUCCCAGCAGAGUAGUAGCAAUAAUUUCGGACUCCGUAAGAAGGUUUUGAUAAAGUGGAGUUAAAUUUGUUGAAUCAGGCAACGUUAACGCGCCUUCUUCACCUGCUAACACCCUUUUCAACCUCUCACAAAAUAGUCGUAGGUGGACGUCCAGCAUAUCUCCUUCUGUCAGUAGCACCCAGAUGUAUUGUCAUUUGCUUCAAGAAAUGUUGAAAGGAUUGGUUCUAUCUCAAAGUGUUUAGUGGUGUAAAAUUAAUUAAUUAAACACCAUGGAAGAAUUUGCAAGGAAGAUGCCAAGAAACUGGCGAAGUGGCUAAAUUCCACAAUUAUGACAUUAUUGCUCAUUUUCAACUCAAAAAAAUGAUACGCGUUCAUUUAGAGAAAAGUCCAAGACGCGUUCCUUUCGGAAAGAACAAUUAUCCAAUAGAGAUCCAACCUUUAUCUUAUUCAAUUACUACCCUGACAUGAUUGAUGGUGCUUAAAUCAAUUGUUUCUUUUUUAAUUUAAAGAAUUUUUCAUUCAAAUUUUUUUUAAUAUUAAAUUGCCUUCAAUGGCAUUACUGCAGCAAGCCCAGUAACACGAUUAAUUAAAAAGUUUAGAAUUUUUGGGCCUGGAAAGAGUAGUAUUAAACAUCAGCAAGCUAAGGUUGAUAUGUUAAAGAGUUGAUAUUGACAUAAUUUUUAUUUUGGUUUUCGGGGAAAAAAAAUUGUUGACAAGCAAGAAAAUAUUUAUAUAUUUUACAAUUUAUUAUACAUAUUUUAUCAUAUUAAAAUAAUUUUAAUAAUUAAUGAAAAACAAAAUAUUGCAAUAAAUAAAUUAAUGUUUAAAUUAUUUUGAAUAUAAUAAAAAUAAUUUUAAUAUUAUUAAUAGGAAGACAUUUUGUUAAUUUUAAAAUCUUUUUAACCCAAAGGUUUAUUUAAAGUCUUUAUUAUAAAUUAAAUAUCAUAAUCUAAAAUUUUUAAUAUUAUUUUAAGUAUUAAAAAUAUUUUAAUGUUAUUAGUCUACUACAUAGAUCAUAUUACUUAUGUUAUAUUUGUAUUGAUUAAAAAUUUUUAAAAUCAAUUUUCUAGUUACUACAUUCACGAGGCAUUAUGGUUAAAGAAAAGAUCUUGAUGUUACUUUUAAAAAAUUUGAGGGCCUGCAUGAUAAUUUUUUCAAAAUUUAAGGAUGUAGGUGUCCUUCUCAAAUAAUUUAGGGUGAGGCUAUUUGAAUCCACCAAUCUACUCACUACACCCAUUUACUAAAUAAACCCGCACUUAAGUUUUGAAAUUUUAAAUUUUACUCAACAAACCGACCUAAAUGUCCAAUAUACCCUUAUUGAACCCAAUUAUUAUAAUAAUAUGUUUUUGCUAAUUAAACCCAUUUAAUUCAUUUAAAGUUAAUAAAUGAUUAUAUUUAUUAAAUUGAAAACUAAAAGAUUAUACAAAACAUAAACAAUACUCUCAAUUAUAUAUUUUGGAGCAAAAAUUCCAAAGUGUAGUAAGCAAAGCCAAUGCAAAAUGGCUGGAGCAGCUAAUAAUGGUAAAAGUCAGAGCCUAGUAAUGUGGUACCGCUACUUGACUUUGGGAAAGAAGUGAUAAUUAUAUCAAUUUCUUCAACUUGGAAGUUGGAAGUGCUGUUGAAAGCGGUUGAUGCCAGAAAAAUAAUUAGAUAUCUGUCAAAAAAAAACUUUGGUAUUUUUAGAAAUAAAAUCCUAUAUCCAGUAUUUCAAUAUGAAAAGUCUCUAGUAUUUCUUUCAAUUGAUUCUUCCUUUGUCUUCUUCGACUCCAUGAAGGUUUAAUUAUGAUGAGAAAGCCAAGGGGAAUCAAUAAAGAAUAUCAAUUUAGGGUUUAAGAAAAAUAUCAUAAAGUUGAAUGUAAAAUGGAUUCAAAGAGUAAAUUUUAUUUUUAAAACUAUAUUUUAAUGUCUAAAAUUGUAAUUUAAUUUAGGGAUAUUUUAAUAAUUACAAUUUAUUUUUAAAAGUGAGUUUAUUAAGUAGUUUGAUGGGUUCAAAUAGUCCCAUCCAAUAAUUUAUUUCACUGUUAAGGGAAUCCAAUGAGAAAAAUAAUAAGAUAUCGUCAAUGACUUGUCAUUUUCUAUUUUUUCUAUGAGCUAAUUAUUUUGAGCAUUAGUGAUCUUGUCAGGACUACUCCAAUUAUUGAUGCAACUCCAGCGGCUGCAUCCACAGUGGCUACUCCAAUUAUUCAUGCCUUUUAAAAAGAAUAUGUAUACAAUAGCAAUCCAUACUUUAUCUUACAUUGAUUUUUUUCAAUUAAUGGUGAUUGCAUUGAUUUUUUUCAAUUAAAGAAAAAUUGUUUAAAAUAGAUUUAAUGCACAAAUACGAUGACUUUUGGCAAAAAUUAGUUUCGGAAAUGUUGGGAUGAAAACCAUAUUAGUUGAGACUUAAAUUAAGAUUUAAAUGUUGAGAUAGUAUUGCUCAGUCAGAAUAAACAAUAACCAAUUCAAAUUAUGACUAUCACGUAAAAACAAAUGUUUAUGCUUGGGUUUUUUACUUCUUGAAUUUGAUUGGAAAAAUUUCUGAGACAGAGAAGUGUUUUGGAUAAUUGUUUUGGGGAUUGAAACCACAAAUUGGUCGAGGAAAUUAAUUUUGGACAAAUUUUUAUUAUAUUGUAGCACCUUUUUGGUUCCUUUUCGGCGGCCCCAUACUAUUCUCUUAACCCUGAGUUUUUUUUUUUUUUUUUUUUUGAAAAGUCUUAACCCUGAGUUUGAGAUAGAAAUUUCCCGAACUCCAACCUCACAUCCAGGGACAAGUUGAUUGAAACAAUUGCUCUUUCAAUUAAGAGGAUGAGUUAGGUUUCAGUUCUUAUCAUUGUCUGUUAUUUCUUUGAAUCAUUAAUUUUGAGCAUUACUGAUCUUAGUUAUCUGUAUUUCUCCAAUUAUUGAAGAAUUUCAUGUGGCCACUUUUUCUCCUUUUCAUAUAUGUUUCGUUUUUGGACUGAUCAAACGGUGCAAAACCAAGUAUUUGCUGGUCCUUAGUUUAGCCAAUGAUGGCUGAUCCACAGUUGAAUAUAUGAUACUAUUAGCUCUUAUUUGAGAAUGUAAAGGGAUCUUUCUUAUUUGAGAAUACAAGUUGCCCAAUAGAGUUGAACUAUGUUACCCAACUCCAUGCUCAUACAUUAAAUGUUUAGGUAGUUUUACAAAAUGAUAGCAGCAUGCCAAAACUUGUUGUUGUCAUUUUCGACAUUUCAAAUUGAAAAAUAUGCAAGCAAUCUUCAGUGAACAUUACGUUUUUAUUGAAUAAUUUAAAUGGCCAGCAAAUCAACAGUCCGUGAGUUUUAAAUCUAUUAUGACUUAAUGUAUCUUUCUGUAUUCGUACACAGGUUAUAUUAUCAUAGUUUAAAAUUUUAAUAUUAUUUUAAAUGUUAAAAAUACUUUAAUGCUAUUAGUCUACUACACAGGUUAUAUUAUUUAUAUUAUAUUUGUAUUAAUUAAAACUUUUAAUGUCAAUUUUCUAAUUACUAUAUUGAAAAGGUAUUAUGGUUAAGAAAAAGUUUUGGCAUUUCUUCUUGAAAAUUUGAGGGUCUGCAUGACAAUUUUUCCAAAUUCUAAGGGUAUAGGUUUGAAAAUUUAAUGUUCUUUAACUUAAUGAAACAAAAGGGGGAAACCAAGAACUAUUCAAUUUUGUAUUUUUUGUUUGUAAUUCAAAAAAUGCAUCCACCAAACAAGUUUUACGCAUUAAUGCUGUCAUAAAACAAAAAACAGUUUGCCAAAAAAUGGUACCAAACAUAUCCUUAAUGUCUCACAUGAUUUCUUAGUAAGCCCAUAUUAGAUAUAUUUAUACAUUUUAGGUAUUUUAAUUAUAAAAGAAGUUGGUCCUCCCUCUGUUUAUAAAAGAUAACGUUAUUUCGAGAUUACCACUAAACUCUUACAUAGAAUUAGUGUAAUGUUAAGAGAGAGUAACACAAUUUUCCGUUACCAUCUUUGAAAAUAGAAAGAUAUGGAUGCGUGCAUUUAAGGGUUAUCGUGAAAAUCAUACAAUUCAAUUUCCUGACAUAUAUAUUCGUGCACAUAUGCCAAAAGAAUAAAUAGACAGAAAGUAAAUUUACAGUCCUCACUUCCUCACAAUUGUUAACGUGGAGACAUUAAGGAUGAGCAUAAAAGUUAAAGAUGACUCAUUUCUCAUUUUCUUUUUAAAGUGCUCUGCUGAAAGCCAAACUUCCUUUGGCUAAUUAAUUUAGAAGUAAAGCAGAGAAUAAAGUCCUAGAUGCCUUCUGAAAUUAGAAAUACAUUUUAUAUGCUUUAAUUAUGAUUAUUUGGUAGACUAAAGACCUAAAAGAUAUGUCCAAAGUAUAAAACAGAACGAUUAAAGGAAAAAGAAAAAAAACAGAGUAUUUGUGACGUAGAAUAACAAUUGGUAACUAAAAUCCUAAAUAUUUGAGUUGUUAAAAGCAAAUAUAACAGAGAAGGUAAGAGAGAUGCAGAAACAGAAAACUAUUAGCUUAUCUUGAUUUCCCACUAUAUUCAUUUUCGAUGCUUUUCAAACGAGAUUCUUUUAAUCCUUCUGGCGUCCGCAGCCCUUGCUCUUCUUACAAAUCUCCAGUCCACAUCUGCACUACGAACAAGUUGAUUGAAAUUAAAUAAUGUUGGAGAUGAGGGGUGAGCCGUCAACUUGGUAAAAAAAUUCAUGUAUAAUAUUAUCAAUAAUAUAAAAUAUAUAAUAAUUAUUACAAAGAAUCAUAAAUUAAAAAAUUAAUUAUUUUACAAUCUAUUUCUUAAGUAAGAUAAAUCUCGUAAUAAGUUAAGUUAUAACGUAAAAAAUAUUUUCAAUUUAUAAUCAUUUAAGAAGUCAUUUAACAAUAUAUUUUUUUUAUCAGCAGGCCAUGCCACAAAGUAUCAUCUAUAUUCGUGGUGAUAUUAUUAUUACUCCGUAUUCUCAAAAAACAUGAUUUAACAUUUAGAGAAAAUUCCUGCCUUUUAAAAAGAACAUGUAUGCAACAACUACCAAUACUUUAUCUUACCACAACAAAACCAAUGGUGACUAAAUCAAUUUUCUUGAUUAAAGCUAAAUUUCUUAAAAUUGAUUUAAUGCACAAAUAUGAUGACUUUUUGCAAAAAUUAGUUUUGGAAAAUAUAGUGAGAGAAAAUAGUGACGAUUAUUGUUUAGAUGUGUAAAUAGUCUAAACAUAAUCGCUAAUACCAAUAUCCAAGUGCAUCUUAACACCUUUCGUGAUAUUCUUUCAUUCAUGGUCACUGGUUCAAUAUUUGAAUUUAAUCAGUAAAUCAUGUUCAAUAAUAUUAGAGAUCCCAACAAUUGAGUACCAAUUUAAAUCCUAAUGCUAUAUGUCAUUGACCAAUAUUGUGUCAUUUUUUGUUAACUGGGUGAUGAAUUUCUAGUUGAUAAAAUUACUUUAAAAUAUCUUAAAAAUUAGACAAUAGUUUGCUUAAUUUUUUUAAGCUAACCGCUCAAGAUGCUCUAUUAGAAAUGAUAACCUAAUUAUAUACAUAAAAAAUGAUGUAUUUUUUGCAAUGUUGAUAGUGAGAUUAUCAUUCAACAUGUUAAAAUAUGAAAACAUAUGGAAGAUGGUUGUAAAUUGAUUGAAUGAAAAUAUUUCAGUGAAGUCUCAAAAAUUUGGUACUUGUUAUCUUAUCGAAAGUUUUCUAAAUUAUAUUCGUGGCACUGCCACUGCUUCUAUGUGAAGGUCAUUAAAAUUUGUGUUAGUUACCUAUAGGUUGAAUAACAAUUUUAUUCAUCAAUUGUUGCUCAAUAUAGCAAUUUGAUUGAAAGUGCCGCUGCACUAAUUUUCUAGAUGAACUUUCCUAAAUGUUUGUCCUCAUAUGACCUAGAAUGCUGCGAUAUCAAUUGUAUUGGAAAUUAUUCAAGUGGGUUAGUGCUCUACAUCCCCACCAAAAUUUAAGCAAUCAACAAAACAUUCCUUGUGGAAAUAAACUUAUUUCGCUACUAGACUUCUAAUGAGGCCCAUUUUCCAGAAUCUGGAUACGAGUUAGAUGUCUCCCAAAAUAUUGGUGGGAGUAGACUAUACUAGCACUCGACAACAUACUAACGACGCUAUGGUCCACCAGAAAGACCGGUCUCCGGUCAGCCGAAAAAUCUCACGUUCAGUCUCUUCUCAAUCUCCCUUCUCCCAGCCAAGUCGAUCCCGUAACAUGAUACUAAUCCACAGUUGAAUACAUGAUACUAUUAGCUCUUAUUUGAGAAUAUAAAGGGAUCUUUCUUAUUUGAGAACAUAAAUUGCCCAAUAAAGUUGAACUACGUUACCCCGCUCCAUGCACAUACAUUAAAUGUUAACAGCAUGCCAAAACUUGAUGUUGUCAUAUUCGACAUUUCAAAUUAAUAUGCAAGCAAUCUUCGGUGAACAUUACGUUUUUAUUGAAUAAUUUAAAUGGCUAGUAAAUCUAGAGUUCUUGAGCUUUAAUCUAAAUCAAAUCUAUUAUGACUCAAUGUAUUUUUUUGUGUUCGUACCAGUAAUGCAGGGGAUUAUUUACGCAACUCUUAUUAUUGACUGAGAUGUUCACCUUCAUCCAAUUAGAGAAAGAGUGACUGUAGAGGUGGCAAAAAUACCCGCCCGGUCCGGACCCGGACCGUACCCAUUACCUGGUCCGGGUAUGAAGCCGGGUCGGUCUUGGGCAUCACUUGAUAAACCUGGAACCCGGAUUUUAUUAAAAAAAUUAUAAAAUAUAUAUUAUUUUAAAUAUUUUAUAUUUAUUUGACUCAUUUAUUAUACAUAUAUAAAGUUUUAAACACUUAAAGUUUAUAUUUUCAUGUCAAAUUUUAUUGAAAUAAAUUUAAAACUUAUAAAAUUACUAAAAAAUAAAAAAUAUAUACACAUAAAAUAUUAAAAAAUAUAAAAUUCGGAUACCCGGAUUAAAACCCGGCCCGAACCCGGACCCAGACCGGUUGCAUCCGGGUAGGGUCCAGUCAUGGCAAUACUCGGACCUGGUCCGGGGUUUUGCCAUCUCUAAGUGACUGGGUUCCUAUAAAGGGACUCUUAACCAUUACGAGAGUAUUCAGACUACAAAUCUUUGUAAUUAAAUUCAAAGGUGAAGAUCUAUGCCUAUUAUCUAUUUAACAACUAAUAUAUAGUUAUCUAUUCAUUUAAAUAUCAAGGGCUAUGCUAAUAAUUAAGUUGAAAUGUUGAUGAAAGUAGCCUUACAUCUGUGUAUUACUCAUCUACUCUAAUCUUUUUUUUUUUUAACUUAAUGUACUUUUUCUAAUGUUGUUUACUCUUCCCCCCCCCCCCCCCCCCCCCCCCCCCCCCCCCCCCCCCCCCCCCCCACCUCUCUGACAAAAUAAUAAGAGUUUAGACUUGAAAAUAUCUUAAAGAUCAAACAGUAAUUUACCUAAUUUUUUGAAGCUAACUGCCAAAGAUAUUCUAUUAGACAUUGAUAACGUAGUUAUAUACAUUUAAAAUGAUAUUUUUUUGUGGAAAGGGAUUAUCAUUCAACAUCUUAAAAUAUGAAAACAUAUGGAAGAUGAUUGUAAAUUGAUUGAAUGAAAAUAUUUCAAUGAAGAUGGUUGUAAAUUGUUAUCUUAUUGAAAGUUUUCUAAAUUUACUACUAUUUGAACUUAGCCCUCCUGGUACCGCCACCAUUUCUGCUUGAAAGUCAUUUAAGUUUGUGUUAGCUGCCUAAAGCUUUUUUUUUUUUUUUUUUCUUUUUCUUUUUGAAAAGAGCUGCCUAUAGCUUGAAUAACUAUUUUGCUCACGAAUUGUUGUCCAUUAUAGCAAUUUAUUUAAUUGAAAGUGCGGCUGCAAUAAUUUUCUUGAUGAACUAUUCCACAUGUUUGUUCUCAUGUGAGGCAGUUUUUCUAGAAGAUUGAUAUUUCUUUAAGUCUUUAACUAGCAAAGCAUACCAGUCCAAAGCUAGCCAAACCAUACCUGCUGGUCCAGGGCUUAAAUGGAGUACUUCUAAGCAUAAAACAGUAACAAAAACACAAUAUAUGCAUACAUACAUACACACAUACAUACAUACCAGCAAAUUCAAAAUAGAAAAAAGAGUGCAACUAUUCAAGAAAUUGGUUAUUGUAGACAAACACACAUACAAACACAUACCAGAAAAUUCAAAAAAUAGAGAAAGGAGGCCAACUAUUCAAGUUUGUAGACAAUAUUGCAAUCAUGGCAUUACUUAUAGCAAGUCCUUGAAAUCUACUAAACAAAACAAUGCUCUGUCUCAUGAAUCAAUGUUGAAUUACAGACGAAAAUGAAAGUCUAGCAGGUGUUGUUUCCCUCUUCGAUUUUGCCUACACAAGUAAAGGGAAAUAAGAAUCAUAAAUGAAAAUCAGCUUUUACAGUUGUAAUUAUUAGAUAGAUCUAGAACGAUCUUUCUUUGUUUCUCUGCUGCAAUGUGCUAUCCCACUCUGUUUUGCUACUAAAAUUGAGUCUAUGUUGAGACAUAAUUUCGACACUAGGAGCAACCGCAAUUAGUUUGGCAUUGCAUUACCCCUUGAAGGUUUUACAAUAGUUGUAAACUUACCGAGAAAGUGGAAAAAAAAGGGCAUAGGGAAUUAGGCAAGUAACUAAAGUAUGAGUCAUCAGAUAUGAUUAAAACUCACCCAAUUCAAUCCAUCAGAUUCCGUAAGGAUAUAACUGGAUGUCAUAACGCCACUCCAUAUCCUCGAAAGUCCGUAGCCUUUGCCUCAACUCUGUCUGGGGCCAGUGUAAGUCCAAUUUGCGCAAGCUCUUUAUGCACCAUAGCUCUUCUGGAAGCUUCCUCAAGUAAGCACAUGGGUUGACAAUUAAGCUUUCAAGUUUUGGCAUUGCUCCUGCCCCCAUCGUCCACUCAUCUAGCCAAUACAUUGACUUCAGGUGCAAAAUCUUAAGUUCCGGAAAGCCACCAGAGUCAUCACAGGCCAACUUUCUUCCUAAAUACGAGUUCUUCUUCAGUUUCAGCACUUGAAGGCGUGGAAGCUUUUCCAGCAUUGGCAUGGGAUCCUCCAUUAGCUCAGUAUUUGAUAAGCUCAGAUGGCUCAGACUUAAAGGAAAUUCGUAUUCAGACAGGGCAAUCCGUGAGAGCUUGCUCUCAUUCACUAGUUCCAAGCAUUCAAUUUUGUGGAGUUCGCAUACGCUUUUGGAAACCCCAGAGUGAUAGCAACUCAAAUCUCCAGAUAUCUGAAGAGUUUGAACAUUAGGUAGUCUGCACAAUAUAUCUGGCGUGCAACUACUAGGGUGUAAGGAUGAUAUGAAAAUAAGAUUUUUCAGAGAGCUGGAAUAAUUUUUUGGAGGUGCAGGCAGAGUGAUGGAACCAAAGUUCAGAUGCAUGAGUUUUUGCAUCUUCCAAAUAUCCUCUGGUGUUUGAUCUACGUAGCUAGAUGGCAUGUCUAGUGUUUGAAGGUUUGAAAGGGUGCAUAGCUGUGAAGGAAGACAUUUGAGCGAAGGGAUAUUCAAUUUCAAAUACUUCAAAUGGAAUAAAUUAUCUAAUCCGGGUGGAUAUUGGUCCAGGACUGCAGAACCCAUGUUCAAUACCCGAAGGUGUUUGAACAUUUUACAAAAAUUCUCGCAAUCUAUCGGAUUAAGAUGAUCGCUUUCUGAACUGUAAUUCAGAAAAGAUUGAUUAGUUCUUUCAAGUAAUGUUCGGCCGUCCCCUCACUGUUGUAUGGUAUGAAACCUUCAGCUACCCACAACUGAUAUAAUUGCCUCGUGGAUAUCUCAAUACUUGGAGGGAAGACAAACAAAUAGAUGCAGCAGACUUUCAAGUGAAAAGGUAACUCCAUCACAGAAUAAAUUUGUCUCCAAGCUGUCGGAAUCGCUUCGCCUUGAAAAUAAUUUUCUAAUGGCAUACGUCCGUAGUGUAGGACGAAAAAUUGCAAGCCUUCAUACUUUAUUCUAAUCAGUGGUCCUCCAACGAGCACUGAAUCAAGCCGAAUCUCCUCUGCGUUUUCCAUUUCCAACGAUGUAAGGAGUCUUGGAUCAGCGACCAAUAUCAAUACUCUGCUUCCAUUCUGAUUAUCAGGAAGAACUUCUUCAAGAUCAUCCCAUAUCUCACUCUCAUCGAAGAAGCACAAUAAAGUACUUAUUGUUUGUUAGGUAAUCUCGAAGACUAGAUUUCUUCAAUUGAUAACUUCACCGAGGCAUCACAGACUUGAUUAUGUCAUCCAAUAUCUUGCCAAAAUCGUAGGCUAUAGAAACCCUGACCCAAGCAAGACAGUCAAAAUAGAACUUGACAUGAUUAUUGUUAAAAGUAUCUGCAGCAAAAGCAGUCUUAUCGAAGCCACUGCUGUCGAAAAUUGCAACCACUGAUAUCGAUAGAUCAAACAACUUCUCUCUGCCCUUUUCAAAUUCACUGAUAUCGAGCCGAGGUUGUCCCUCAUUCAAUAGGCGAAUGAUUUUGUUACUUUGUUCACUGAUAUCAAAACCAUUGUCGCCGGGUGGAAGUUGUUGCAUCUGAUUUCUAAUAU